AGUUAGAAAAUUAUAAAAUUAUAUUUCAUGUAUUUUACUUUCACAUAUUAUUUCUAUUAUAAUUAGAGAUAGUUUAUUAUAUGAUAGAGUUUGAUGGCUCAUUAAUAAUUAUUACAUAUUUUAAUAAUACAUGUGAGAAAUACAAAAUAUUACAUAAACAACUAAAAAGAAUACUCACCGUAGAAAACUAUUUAUAAUCUUUACAAAGAAAGUGGGAAUUUUUUUUGUGAAAAUGAAGCUUUUCUUCAAGAAGAAAAAGAGAAGAAGGACUUCUCUUCAUACACUCCCAUAAUCUUCUUUAAAUGAACAUCAUUAUUUUUAAAUAACUAUGUUACCUUUUAUAAACGUGUCUUCAGGAUUAGGUAUUAAAGAAAUCUUCUCGAGCAAGUUUUUUUUUUUUUUUUUUUUUUUUUAAAUUUUAAGAAUAUGACUUUUAUAACAGAGAUUUUGAAACAGGAUUUCUUGAAUAAAUGUUCUAGAACAUAUUAAAUGCAUUUCAAAACAAGAUUUUUAAAAAUAUAUGAAAUGAUUUUCAAAACUAGCUUUCUUGAAAGUUCUUUUCAAAACAUGAGAUACAUUCUGAAAUGAAAUUUCUAAAGUUUUUCAAAAUAUAUAUGAUAUAUUUUCGAGCAAACUUUCCAGAUCAAGCUUUCUACUAAUUUGAUUUGAAGUGCAGAAGUGCAUGUAGUAAUCUUUGGGUGCAGUUAGUAAUCAUGGUGGGCAGCGACAAGCCCAUUACAAUCUAUCCCAACACAAUUUUUGGAUGUUGCUCUCCCACUUCCCUGACUCUCUAUAAUUUUUUUAAUUAUAAAAUUAAUCUUUUUUACUUCUUAAUUUUAUUUUUUUACUUUUUAGUUUUAUUUAUUUAUUCUUCUGAAAUUCUAAUUUCUAUUCAUAUUUACUUCUCAGUACCAUUUUCACUGCAUAGUCCCACCUCUCAUUUUCUCUUUUCUCUCUUUCUAGAGCUCCUUUACUCUCACAUUCAUUUCCAUCUCAAGAUUCGUUUCCACCCCUCUAACUCUCUCAGAUCUGUUAUUUAUCUUCAAUAUUCGUUUGUUUGUUUCCUCCAUCUCCGUUUGGGUUUUGUGGUGCGGCGGUUCGGGGUGUUUGCGGUUGUCAUUCAGGUGGUGCAGCGGUGCGACGGUGCGACAAUGAGAUGGUGCGGCGGUGCAAUAGUGUGUGCGCUGGCCAGUGCUUCGCGACUUAGGUCUUCGAGAGGUUAGUUCUUCAUAGAUUAUAAUUUUUUUUCAUAAAUGUAUUCAAUAUACUUUAUUGUGUGUGGUUGAUGUCGUUGGGUUUUGUCUAUGCUAUGUCAUUUCUCUGUGUGUUGUGUGAUUUUUGUGUGUAUGUCGCAUAUCUGUUUGAGCUUGAAACGGAUGUUAACAUUCGUCAACGGAUACACGACAUCUGUUUCAGGCUCAAACGGGUAUGCGACAUCCAUUUCAGGCCUGAAUGCUUUUUUUUUUUUAAUUUUCUUUAGUGUUUAGUUUAUUAUUAGUUUUUAUUUUUAGUUUUUUCUUUAUUUUUUAAAAUUUUGUUAGUUUAAUUAAGUAUAUUUUGUAUUUAGUUAUUGAAUUAUUAUAUAAACUGUUUUUUUAAUUACUUCAACGGAUCUGACACAUCCGUUAACGGACAUGGGACAUCCGUGUAGGAUGUUUUUUUUUUGUUUUUUUAUUAAUUUAAAGGCUUAAUAGCCUCUUUUGUCCCUACUUAUGCUCGGUUGUGUCAAUGAGGUCCCUGGUUUAAAAAUAGCGUUUAAUUGGUCCUUAAUUAGAAAAUUUUGUGUCAACGUUGUCCCUUCCGUUAAAAAUCACUAACGGUGUUAAUGGAUUGAUGAUAUGGCAGGUCAUUUUCAAUUCUUUUUAAUCUUUGGGCCACCUAAUCCCUCCUACCGCGUAAACUUUGACUUCUCUAAACAGUAGAAACCCUAAUUCCUCAACUGUAGCCAAACCCUAUCCACAGUCACCACCUUGCCGUGCCGCAUAAGUGAAGUCACCGUCAGAACGCCACCAUGACCAUCCAUCCACAACAGAACCACGACCUAUCAAGGGAAUAGUUGGGUCAGAAAAGCAAUUGGAACUCUAGAUCUUGUAAUGACUCAAAUGAAAAGAAAUCUACCAGCGGGAAUUCUCACUGGAGAUUUGGGUGUACUAAGCCUAGAAAUCAAGAUUCCAACUUCGACAUGAAAAACAAUUGGAACUCUAGAAGCAGUGGAAACUGGGCUUCUGAUCCAAAAAAUAGCAAUUGGAAUCCUGGAUCUGAUAAUUCCAAUGAAAAUCCAGAUAGGGGAGAUAACGACAACGGGAACAGAGGUGGUUUUGGUGGUGCAACCUUCUUCCAUCAACAUCACCAUAUAUCAAUGCAGAAAUCAGAGGCAGAGAGAACCCAAAAUUGCGUCCUCACCAUGGUCAUCAUCUCCUCCAUUAACGCAUCAACCAUGGAACUCAGUUCACACUAAAGCGCCUCUCCCAGCAGAUCGCGAACCCAAGUGCGACCUCACCACCCCCGGUACCUCGUGGUCGUCAUCUUCCUCUUCCAUUAUCUGUUUUCCCUUAUUUUCUUUCAUCUAAGACCAACCCAUCACACUCUCUCUAUCUCACGCUAUUCUAUAUCAUAAGAGUUUCCUCAUUCUAUUUCUUUCCUUUUUUUCUUUCUUUCUUAUUUCUACUUCACACUACUCUUAUCUGCAUCUACACUCAACCACUUACAACUAAACUUUUUCCUUCCCUUCUCAAAACACCCUGAAGCACCUCAAAGAUCAUUCAUGUCCUUUAUUCUAUCUCAUGCAUCAUUCCACUCAUCAUGGAAAACCCCAACGCCAAUCCUCUUUAAUCUUUCAACCAUUCAAGUUAUGCUCUAUAUAAACUAUAAUCUCUCACCCUAAACGACAGAAAUCAAACUCACUCUCAUCGCAUUACUGUUUUUCCAGGUAUGUUUAAUAGUGUCGCCAGACACCACAGUGUCAACGAGAGUUUCGCAAGAAACUCUUUAAACCCUAAUCUAUAACUUUUAAACAUAGGUAAGUCAUCAUUUAAAACAAUAGAACUCAUAGCACAAUGAUCCAAGGAGAACCCAACCAACCCAGAAGAGUUUCCCUCAUGCAUAUAUCUCGUUUAAUUUUCCCAUGGUCAUACACCAAAUCACAAUAUCAAACAGACAACAAAGACAUCAUUCAACCUAUGAAAGCUCACGUAGUACCCUCAUCAAACUACAACAUUCUUAGUUUGCUCCCCUUAUCUGGUUUUCCAUUGAAUUUCUAAAGGUCCUUUGCUUCCCAACGGCUCCAAACAUGUUCCUUCCACAAGGUUGGUCUUCAAUCCCUUUGCUCCUACUUACACCACGUUCACGCGAAAAAGAAUUGAUCUCACCCUCUCUCACAAACCCUUACUUUGGCUGCAGCUAAAAAACAAAGUUUAGGAUUUUCUCCUUUACUCACACAUUCACCAAGUCUCUUUUUUUUUUUUCCAGCCUAAGCUUAACCUAAAGGAAUUUAAACUUUCUCAUACUUCCUGUUUGGCUAUCGUGAGAACCUCAGCUAGAGUUUGUUCUCUUCACUUGUGUUUUCGCACCUAGUUGAUUACUCGACUGUUAUGGAGAUGCUAUGAAGGGGGUCAUAGCUCUAGUGACCAUUGACCUUUAGGUUCAGGGAACCAUCCUGGUGAAAUUGCAUAUAUUUCACCUUGAAUCCGUAGUAGUGAACCUUUAUUAGGGCAUGGAGGAAGAAACGUGUAUUCCUGUAACCCUCACACUGUUUGUUCUUUUUUUAAAAUAAUGACAUUGCAUGCAUGCAUGUUGUUAGUCAUGUUCUUUUUACUUCGUUGUGUUACCAUGCAUCAUGUUCAUUCAUCAUUUGGUAACAUGCUGGUUUUAAGGGAAAUCACAGGUAUUCACUUGAUCUCAUACAAGAUGGAAGUUGAUACAAGAUCCGGUACUACACAACAAACUGAUUCUGCCAUUUUAAGAAGUAAACCUCGCCUAAGGACUCAUGGGGGAAAUCUAACAGGGCUGAUAAACUUAGGCAAAUGGCUAAAGACCAUGAAGAGAGAAACCUUCAGGAAGAAGUAUGGAAAUCUGUUGAGUCUAAUGGAGGUGGAAGUACAAUUGCUUGCUAUCACAGCCCUUGCACAGUAUUACGACUCUCCGCUAAGAUACUUCACAUUUCAAGACUUCCAUCUAGCGCCGACUAUAGAAGAAUUUGAGCACAUCAUGGGCUUGCCACUAGAGGGUACCACACCGUGUCAACACUUGAAGCAUCAUGCCUCUAUCCCAACCAUUGCCGCCAUAAUGAAAUUACAUCCCAAAGAACUCGAAGACAGGUUGGUAAUUAGGAAUCAAGUGCGUUGACUGACACAAGGAUAUUUUGAGCAGUAUUUGCAUCAUCUAGCCAAUAAGGAAGAGUGGGAGACCUUCAUGGACGUGCUAGCGCUCGCCGUGUAUGGCAUUGUUUUAUACCGCAAUAGAUGUCUUCGUAGCAAGAAAGACGAGGUUGGAGAAUCUUGUGAUGGCAGUCCUUGCUGACGUUUAUGGGACCAUGAGCUUCUGCCACGAAAGGAAAGGGAAGAAAAUCAUUUGUUGUUUGCCGGCACUGUAUGCUUGGAUGAUUGCGUGUGUGUUUAAAUUGGCAGUUAAUGUCAGGUGUCCUUCGGAAGACUUGUCGUACCAAGGGCUUAAAGACCAAGGAGGAAAUAAGUGGGCCUAUUUCUUUGCUGGUUUGAGUGGAGGCAACGUGAAGUGGCCCCUUCCUUGGCUCGGGAUUAAACCUUCUGAUGGGUGUCGCGACUCAUACAAAUUUGAUUGCAUAUGAGAAAUGCAGUAUAGACUAGGAAGUGACUCCUAGGUCGUCUCUUAAGGACCAAAUGUGGUUCGAGAAUUAGGUCAGACACAAAGUGGGGGACGUUGUGAAAGGUUUGUGAAUGCGGAUUAAUUAAAUCAAAAGACGGAUUCAAACAGAAAUGUAAAACUGAAAUGCAGACAGAAACAUAAAAAUGGAAUCAAAUAUAGAAUAAAAACGGUCGGUCAUUAACUCAAUUACUAUGCUUCCAAUCCUAGAUUAAAGACAAGUACACACUACUCUAAUCCAAAUCUGACGCGAAUCAGCCAACUAAGGGAAGACUAAUUCGGUCUUUAGAGUUGCAAACUAAGCGAAUGCAAUGCACCUAUUCCAUCCUAUGUGUUCUAUACAGAUCGAUCAACUAAGCGAAGAUGCAAUCACCAACUGGGCAACUAAGCGUAUACCCAUUGCAAGAACACAGUCAGAUUUCAUAGAGUGUCAGGCAAAGCAGAAUAAACACAGGAACAAUCCGAGAAUCUCAAGGAAACAAUGCAAUUUUAUUAAUGACCAACCCGACUAACCUAAGCUAACAUGACAGCUAAAUUAACACAAUCGACAGCGAACGAAAACAGUAAAUUUAACGGUCCUAAAACAAGAUGUGUAGUCAACAUGGGGUGAAAUUAAAAGACAAUGGAACUUGAAAUUAAAUUGCUAAGUUAGAAUAUAAAUGCACAUUGUAACUUGGAAUAAAAGAAGCAAAAUUUAACUAAUAAAUAAAAUGCAAUUCAUCAUAUGGAAAUACUUAAAAUGAAAUAAAUAAAAUUAAAAUGCAUCAUGGAAAUAGUUAACUAAUAAAUAAAUCACCACCCAUCUCUUAUCCUAAACGCCACUGUGCUUCCUUUUCCAAUUUAAAUAACCGCUGCACAUUCUCUUUAAUUGCAAGUGCGUAACCUUCAAAGCUAGGAAAGGAACCAAAUCUUCAUCUAUGUGCUGUUGCAUUCAAUUAAAAGCAAAUAAAAGGAAAUGCUAAGGUGGGUGGUUGCUGCCCAUUUCUCUAGCACCGUCUCUUCUAGCAAAUAAAAGAAAAGGUAGAGCUGUCAAAACGGGUAACCCGGCUCGACCCGGCCCGGCCCACCACAGGUUGAUCACUUAGUGAGCCAACCCAAUCCGGCUCAUUUAUUAGCGAGCCAGAAAAACUUGAACCCGACCCGACCCACCACGGGUUGGUGGGUAAACGGGUUGGCUCACUAGCCCAUUUAAUUAAAUUUUUUUUAAAUAAAAAAAAUACAAACUUUCUGUAAUUUAAAUUUAAACAAUUUCCACUUCCAAAAAAUUAUGUUAAAGACAAUUCAAAAUAAUAAUAAAAAGUACAAUAUAAUCCAAAUGUCAUUAAAAAACAAACACAAAAAACAUACAAAUAAGUUUCUUAUAUUCAUCAUUUUUUGUUCUUGUUGUAACCCUUGACCCUUGUUCUUGUUAUCUCCAAAUUCACUAAUAAAAAUUUUCCUAAUAUCAGAACAAUUCCGAUAAUCAAUAAAAAAAUAUUAGUCAAAAAAAGAGAAACACUACUCAACAAUAUCAACAAAAAAUUAAUAGUUUAAUCUGUAACAUAAUUUUCCAAAUUCAAAGAUAUCAAAAAGAGCUUGUUCAAAUAAAGUAUACUCAAAUUAUUUAAAUAAAAUGAACAAAAUCUUAUACAAGCAUGUCAGAACAUGAAAAAAUCAUUCCAUGUAUUCAAAUCCCCCAGAACAAAAAACAAAUUCGCAAACCCCUAUUUUUGUCAUUAUAGGGUUUUUGGAAAAAGAAAGAAAGAGAAGUGAGAAAACAAAAAUGUGGAGAAAAGAGAAGAAAAAAGGAAGGGUGUUUUACCUGCUCUUUGAAGAAUUUCAGUGAAGUGAGGGUGAGAGCACCGUCAAAUAAGAGCAAGUACCGUGAGAGUGAUUUGUGAGAGCAGAAGUUACUUUUUUGGUAUACACAGUCAGUGAAGAAAGUAUUUUAUUUUUUAGGGUUUCAUAAAUAAAAUAAUAAAUUAAAAAAUAAAAUUAGGUAUGUGGGUUGGUGGGCCAACCCGGCUCACCACGGGUUCAACCCGCAUGAGCCGGGUCUAAAUGAGCCGAAUUGAAAUCUGACCCGCAUAUAAGUGGGUUGUAUUUUUCAAACCCAACCCGGCCCGAACCCUUGACGGGCCGGGUUGGCUCGCGAGUUGUGACCCAUUUUGACGGCUCUAAGAAAAGGGACCCUCCAAAUGCAAUGACCGUGAAUAAAAAAAACUCCAAAUGAAAUAUGCGCCACUCGUGUGCCAAAAUCUGAAUUGCCUCUCCCAAAAGAAAUAAAGUGUGUCAAUCAAAUGCUUUUUCCUAUUUCUAAAAAAAAAUCAAAUCAAAAGCUGGUGGUGGCUGCUGCCGUUCCAACCCUUUGCACCCAAUGAGAAUUAAAAAAAAUAAACAUUCUUCUUUAUUCAUCCUAUGCCAAUCAACGUUAACAUCAUCAGUUCUUCCCAAAAAAAACUUUGCAGUAACCCUAUUUAAAAAAAAGUUCAAGCCUAGCAAUAACAAUGGCAGCAGCUACUUGCACAAAAUAAAAAUAAAAAAAUUCUUUCAUCCAUAAUCAUAAAUUUCAAACAGCUCUUUCAAUAAAAAAGUAAAACAGAACAAGCGUUCCAGCUCCUUUGCCCUUCUAAAACCGCUGGAGCUCUCUCCUUUUAAAUACGUUCCAGCAGGUUCCCAAAUAUCCAAAAGCCAAAACCGUUCAAAGACCCCCUCAAGCCAAAAACCGUUCCAUGCACUACCUCCUCACUCUGUCGAAAAUAAUGGUCCUUUAGUGUGUGACAGCUGCUAGGAUUCUAAGAGGCCAUGUGUCUCAAAAUUUAGGGUGGGGUCCACCCAACCCUAGGGUUGCCAAGUGUCAAGUGUCUAAUAAAAUUGGGCCCAACAACAUUUUUCCAAAAUUGGCCCAAGAUGCAAAGAGUUUGUCUAAAAAGUUUUAACAAUUAAAUUACAAUACAACUAAAAUUUAUUUGGUGUCCUCCAAAUGUCCUAAAUUAUGUUUCAAAAAUUUUCCCUGAAAAUAAUAAUGCAAAUAAUCAGCUCAGAAAAUUCAAAUUAAUUAAAAUUAGAAUUUCCGGUCAAAUUAAGCAUAAUUAGGAAAAACGGAAAAAUACCGGACAAUUAAGCACAAUUCCCUGAUUAAUUUUAGCACAAUAAACUAAGUGAAAUCAAUAAAAUAUCGACUCAUCACCCUCCAUUCAACAAUGUGGCAGCUUUCCUAAUGUACCUCUAAUAGGUGCCCGAUAUUGUAUGAAUUACAACCCUAUUUUGGUUCAAAGGCAAUUCAGGCAUCCCAUGAAAGGGGCACCUUCACCGGACUUUCUCACGGCAUUUUUCUUCUACUAUUAAAAUGGGCAUUUCACUAAAGUGCUUGGGAAACUGUUGUUCGAGCAUAAAAGGAUUUGAGGAUUGGAGUGGUGGACGACAAGUUUAGUUAUCAAGCAUGGAUCUUAGAAAGGGUGAAGGAAGUCAAACUGCCAUUCAAGCCAAUCAAUGAUCAUCUGACUAAUGAAGGGCAACCGCAAGACCUAGAGAGUGAAGAGGUGAAGCAGUUGAAAGCGGAGAUGGAAAAACUGAGAGAAAGGAAUGUUAGGUUGGAAAGAGAAUUAUAAAGUACGUGCAACGAUUUUGUAGAUAUGAGAAAUGACAAAGAGAAGAACUCAAAGGCCUAUGAGGAAAUCGUUAGAAGCCAGAAGGCCGAAAGGGAUUAUACAUUCCGAUUGAAGCAUGAUCUUGCAGCCGCAAGUAAAGAGCUAGCCAUGAGAGUAAAAGAGAAGAAUGUGGCGUUGGAAGAAGGAAAACAGUGGAAACACCUCUACGAAGAAGCCAAAAGAGAUAAGCGAGAAUCCUUGAAAAGACUAAGAGAAGCGCAAAUUCAAGUAGAAAAAAUGGGGCAUCAGAUGAAGGAAAUGGCCAAGUCGUUUGAGGCAGAUUUAAACCAUGAGCGUUGGAAGUUAGUAGAGGCAGAAGAAGGGCAUCGGGUCAUGUUAAAACAAAUUGAGGAUUAUAUUGAGGAGCAAGAGGAGUGAUGGAGGUCGAUGGAAUUUGAAGAAAGGCAUCAGGCCUUGGUGAAGCGAAUGGAAGAUCAAAUCGCGGAACAAGAAAAAGCUCUGAAGCAUUGGAAGGAAAGUUUCUCCCAUGUGGCUGCUUUAGCAAAUGGAGCAAUUGAAGAUAUCCCCCAAAAUGGUGUUGGAUGCCAAAGCAAGUAUUCACUUUUGAAGCCCGCCAAAAGAGAUAAAACUUUUUAUUAAUCAUUGUAAAUGGUUGGUAGGCGAAAUGAAAUCCUUCAUCGCUCGAGCUCGGGAGUGAUCUAUAAAUGAGAACCUUGUAUUUUGUUCCUUUAGAUGAUGUAUUGAACUGAGUUUUCUUUAAAUGAAAGAUGUGGAAUGUUCGUUUGGUACAAACUUGUGUUAAUUUCCAUCAGUAAUGUUAUCGCGAUCUUGUGAUUUCCACCUAUCACUAGCAUGCAUCAUGUUUUCUUUUGUUUAGGAUAUUUCAUUCUCAUCUAGUUUAAAUUAAUCAAAAUAAUAAAACAAUACAAGUGAGGAAAACAACGGCCAAUUUUCCACGACAUCCCUACAAGACUCGAGCCAAUUCAAGAGUCAUGGAAAGCUGGGAGGUGUCAUAAGAAUCCAUUAAAGCCGAUGUUAGCCAGAUGAAAGACCAGGUCAGCCAGAUCUUGGCUGCCCUCGAAUCCCUAAAGACUAUUGGAGAGUCUUCGCUGCACAAGUUGAGGGGAAUGCCUACUUUUAGGCCCGAUGUUCAAUGUCGUAAGCCAACCGGUCCCUCUUUUGAUGUUUGGUUUACCCCUAGGGUACACUCCUCCCAUAGGGGAUUACUCAGAAGCAAAACAUGCAUCAUUCUCCUUUCCCAUAACUAUUAAUGUACCGUCAAUCGGCACUUACGGACCUAUCUAGUGUCGGCUCCCAUGGUGAGUACAGGGAUGAAUGAGACAAACACAAUUAAAGGAAUGCGAGUAACUACAAUGCCACACAUGGUUACUACAGAGGACUCUUCAGCCAAGGCCGCACCGCACACCGCGUUGCAUGGGGUAAUUAGUGGCGUAGAUGGAGCUAAGAGUAGGUUGGAGAUUCUAGAGUAGAGAUUGAGGGCAACUGAAUGAGUGGAAAGCUAUGGGUUUAGAGACGUUGCAAGCCUAAGCUUGGUUCCUGGUGUGAAAAUAACGCAUAAGUUUAAAGCGUCGGAGUUUGAGAAGUACAAGGGUAGUACAUGCCAGCUACUCAUCCAUUUUUUUCCAAGACAAUUUAGCUGGGGUUGCGUUGAACUGGUAUACCCACCUAUAGCCAUCUCGAAUCCGUUGCUGGGCGGAUUUGGCCGACACCUUUGUGAAACAGUAGAUAUACAACACGCAUGUCGCACUGGACCGUCUGUAGUUACAAAAUAUGGCAAAGAAGGAUAACGAAAUUUUCAAGGAAUAUGCCUAGCGAUGGAGAGAGUUAGCUGCACAGGUUAAGCCGCCUUUGUACGACAAAGAAAGGGUGGCAAUGUUUGUGAACACACUCUAGCCACAAUUUUACAAGCAUAUGGUGGGAAAUGUGUCAUCCAAUUUCGUCGAUAUCAUCAUAAUAAGCGAGAGAAUAGAAAUUGGGUUGAAGAAUGGGAAAAUUGCAUAUGGCCCAUUCGCGGCAGCAAACUCUAAAAAACUCAUUUUCAAUCCAGGAAAGAAGAAGGAAGGCGAUGUGCAUGCAGGAUCGGCAACGCUUGUGUGGAGAGUUCAAGCUACCACUCACAAUUAUAGACCAUACUUGGUUAGUCUUCCUACGCAGCCAAUGCGGCAUUUGCUCAUCAAAUUAGGCCUCAACAACAACAAGAAUUUUUUAACCGCAACAUAUCACAAACGAUGCUUGGAGGACUGGGAUAAGCGCGAAUCCAAUUCUGAAUGCGGGUGAAGGCGCUUAUCCAAGAAAGACCCAAGAAAGAAAUUUUGUUCAUUUCACCCUCAUCCCUACAACUUACACUAAAUUAUUACCUCACUUCAUCGAAAGGGGUCUAGUUGCUAUAUGUCCGAUGAUGCCUAUGCAGCCUCCAUACCCCAGGGGUUAUGAUGUCGAUGCCAAUUGUAGUUAUCAUGGGGGAGGCGUUGGUCACUCAACUGAGAGGUGUAUGGUCUCCAACACCUCAUUUUCUUGUUUAUUUAUACUUUUUCACAAACUUAAAGUUUGCAGAUAUGACAAUGAAUGUUUUGAAAAAAACAAUGUCGAUAUUCCUAAUGUUGAGCACCGUGGGAAGAUGAUUGUGAAGAUGGUUAGGAACCCUCACCAGAACUACGUGAUACUUGAUAUUUUUAUUCUGUCGCAACAGGAAUUGCGAUGGGACCCUCACCCGAUGUCGAUUAGGGCCUGCACUUUAUGUUUGAAGGCCAUACACCUCUCGGUUGAGUGACCAACGCCUUCCCCAUUAUAACUACACUUGACAUCGACAUCAUAACCCCUAGGGUAUGGAGGCUGCAUAGGCAUCAUCGGACAUAUGGCAACCAGACCCCUUUUGACGAGGUGCGGUAAUAAUUUAGUGUAAGUUGUAGGGAUGGGGUGAAAUGAACAAAAUUUCUUUCUUGGGUCUUUCUUGGAUAAGCGUCUUGACCUGCAUUUAGAUUUGGAUUCGCGUUUGUCCCAGUCCUCCAAGCAACGUUUGUGAUAUGUUGUGGUUGAUAAAAUCCUUGUUGUUGAGGCCUAAUUUGAUGAGCAAACGCCGCAUUGGAUGUGUAGGAAGGCUAACCCAAGUCUAGUCUAUAAUUGUGAGUGGAGCUUGUUUGAUCUCUCCAUACAAGCGUUGUCGAUGCUGCAUGCACAUCCCCUUCCUUCUUCUUUUCUGGAUUCAAACUGGGUUUUUUAGAGUUUGCAACCGCGGACGGGCCAUAUGCAAUUUUCCCAUUCUUCAACUCAAUUUCUAUUCUCUCGCCUAUCAUGAUGAUAUCGCAAAAUUGGAGGAUACAUUUCCCACCAUAUGCUCGUAAAAUGGUGGUUGCAGUGUGUUCACAAACAUUGCCACCAUUUCUUUGUCAUACAAAGGCGGAUCAACUUGUGUAGCUAACUCUCUCCAUCGUUGGGCAUAUUCCUUGAAAGUUUUGUUAUCCUUCUUUGCCAUAUUUUGUAACUGCAGACAGUCCGGUGCGACAUGUGUUGUAUAUGUAUUGUUUCACAAAGGCGUCGGCCAGAUCCGCCCAACAACGAAAUCUAAAUGGCUCUAGGUGGGUAUACUAGUUCAACGCAACCCUAGCCAAACUGUCUUGGAAAAAUUGAUGAGUAGUUGGUCGUCAUAAGCAUACGCAACCAUCUUUCUACAAUACAUGGUGAGAUGGCUUUUAGGGCAUGUACUACCCUUGUACUUCCCAAACUCUGGGGCUUUAAACUUAUGCGGUAUUUUCACACCAGGAACCAAGCUUAGCCUUGCAACGUCCCCAAACCCAUAACUUUCCACUCCUUCAAUAGCCUUCAGUCUCUCCUCUAGAAUCUCCAACCCACUCUUAGCUCUAUCUACGCCAUUAAUUACCUCAUGCAACGCGGUGUGCGGUGCGGCCUUGGCUAAAGAGUCCUAUCCAGUAACCAUGUGUGGCAUUACAGUUACUCACGUUCGUUCAAUUGUGUUUGUCUCAUUCAUCCCUGUACUCACCAUGAGAGCCGACACUGAGAUAGGUCCCUGAGUGCCGAUUGGCGGUACAUUAAUAGUUGUGGGAAAGGAGAAUGAGGCAUGCUCUGCUUCUGAGUAAUCCCCUAUGGGAGGAGUGUACCCUGAGGGUAAACCAAACAUCGAGAGAGGGACCGGUUGGCUUACGACAUUGAACAUCGGGGCUAAAAGUGGGCAUUCCCCUCAACUCGUUCAGACGAAGACUCUCCAAUAGUCUUUAGGGAUUCGAGGGCAGCCAAGAUCUGGCCGACCUGGUUUUUCAUCUAGCUAACAUCGACUUUGAUGGAUUCUUGUGACUCCUCCGAGCUUUUCUUGACUCUUGAAUUAGCUCGAGUCCUGUAGGGAUGUCUUGGAAAAUUAACCGUUCUUUUCCUCACUUGUACUGUUUUAUUAUUUUGAUUAAUUUAAAUUAGAUGAGAAUGAAAUAUGCUAAACAAAAGAAAACAUGAUGCAUGCUAGUGAUAGGUGGAAAUCACAAGAUCACGAUGACAUGGCUGAUGGAAAUUAACACAAGUUGGUACGAAAGGAACAUUCCACAUCUUUCAUUUAAAGAAAACUUCGUUCAAUACAUCGUCUAAAGGAACAAAAUACAAGGAUCUCAUUUAUACAUCAGUCCCGAGCUCGAGUGAUGAAGGAUUUCAUUUUGCCUACCAAUCAUUUACAAUGAUUAAUAAAAAGUUUUAUAUCUUUUGGCGGGCUACAAAAGUGAAUACUUGCUUCGGCAUCCAACACCAUUUUGGGGAUAUCUCUAAUUGCUUCAUUUGCUAAAGCACCCAAUUGGGAGAAACUUUUCUUCCAAUGCUUCAAAGCUUUUUCUUGUUCCGCAAUGUGAUCUUCCAUUCGCUUCACCAAGGCCUGAUGCCUCAAACGACGUGGCCAUUUCCUUCAUCUGAUGCCUCACUUUUUCUACUUGAAUUUGCGCUUCUCUUAGUCUUUUCAAGGCUUCUCGGUUAUCUCCUUUGACUUCUUCAUAGAGGUGUUUCCAUUGUUUUCCUUCUUCCAACGCCGCAUUCUUCUCUUUUACUCUCAUGGCUACCUCUUUACUUGUGGCUACAAGAUCCUGCUUCAAUCGGAAUGUAUAAUUCCUUUCGGCCUUCUGGCUUCUAAAGAUUUCCUCAUAGGCCCGUGACUUCUCCUCUUUUUCAUUCCUUAUAUCCACAAAAUUGUUGCACGCACAUUGUAAUUCUCUUUCCAACCUAACAUUCCUUUCGCUUAGUUUUUCCAUCUCCGCUUUCAACUGUUUCACCUCUUCACUCUCUAGGUCUUGCGGUUGCCCUUCAUUAGUCGGAUGAUCAUUGAUUGGCUUGAAUGACAGUAUGACUUUCUUUACCCUUUCUAGGAUCCAUGCUUGAUAACUAACUUUGUCGUCCACCACUCCAAUCCUCAAAUCCUUUUCUUCUCGCACAACACUUUCCCAAGCACUUCUAACUUUCCUCAGCACUUCAGUGAAAUGCCCAAUUUCAUAGUAGAUGAAAAAUGCCAUGAGAUAGUCUGAUGAAGGUGCCCCUUUCAUGGGAUGCCCGAAUUUCCUUUGAACAAAAAUAGGUUUGUAAUUGAUACAAUAUCGGGCACUACGAGAGGUACAUUGGGAAAGCUACCACAUUGAUGGAUGGGGGAUUUAAUCCCGAGCCAAGGAAGAGGCCACUUCACAUUGCCUCCACUCAAACCAGCAAAGAAAUAGGCCCACUUAUUUCCUCCUUGGUCUUUAAGCCCUUGGUGCGACAAGUCUUCUGAAGGACACCUGACAUUAACUGCCCCUUUAAACACACGCGCAGUCAUCCAAGCAUACAAUACCAGCAAACAACAAAUGAAUUUCUUCCCCUUCCUUUCGUGGCAGAAGCUCAUGGUCCCAUAAACGUUAGCAAGGACUGCCGUCACAGGAUUCUCCGACCUCGUCUUUCUCGAUACGAAGACAUCUAUUGUGGUAUAGUCCACAAAGUCUUAUAUCUUGGGGAAUAAAUAAAUUUCAUACAAAACGAGCGCUAGCACGUCCGUGAAUGUCUCCUACUCUUCCUUAUCGGUUAGAUGAUGCAAAUACUGCUCCAGAUAUCCUUGUGUCAGUCCACGCACUUGAUUCCUCAUUAUCAAUCUGUCUUCGAGUUCUUUGGGAUGUAAUUUCAUUAUGGCGGCAAUGGUAGGGAUAGAGGUGUGAUGCUCCAAGUGCUGAUAUGGCAUGGUACCCUCUAGUGGCAAGCCCAAGAUAUGCUCAAAUUCUUCUAUAGUCGGUGUCGCAACUGGUGUCGCGAUAGGAUGACGAUAAAAAAACACAGUUUUUGAAAAAAGUUUUGGAGUCGCCACCAUAGUUUAUUCUGGAAAACUAAUGAAGAAUAAUAAAAAGAUAAGGCAAGGUCCACGAAAACCAGAUUCUAGGUUCGGGAGUCGGUUACGUGUAGGGAAGGUAUUAGCACCCUACAACGCUUGUCCUAAGACAGUACCUUUAAUUAAAUACACGAAUUUGAUGUGGUUUUCAAAAUGCUUAACUAUCCCCAAAAACAAAAUUCUAAAGAAAUAAAACAUGUUGUUUUGUAUUUUUGUGUCCGACAAGGAUUGACCUUACUCCUAUGUAUUCUCAAGAUGAGAAAUCAAGGCUACGUAGUUCUAACUGAAAGAUUGUUUGUUGUUUGAUGUUUGAGAAAGGAUGUUUUGUUUUUGGUAUUUUUAUGCGAGAAAGAGAAAGGUUUUUUAGCAAAAAGAGGAUGCGAGCGAUCACACAUGUGCUUAAACCUUUAAAACAUUUUUUCUUAUAUAUGUUUUUAUAAAGGAAGAAAAGAUCUCAGCACGAGGACGAUGCGAGCGAUCACAUACGCGCUUAAACCUUUAAAACAUAUUUUGGAUGUUAUUUUUUAUAAAGAAAGAAAAGGUGUCAGCACGAGGACAAUGCGAGCGAUCACACGCGCGCUUAAACAGGAAGAAAAGGUCUCAACACGAGGACGAUGCGAGCGAUCACACACGCGCUUAAACCUUUAAAACAUUUUUGGAUUUUUUUUAUAAAGGAUCUCAGCACACGCGCUUAAACCUCUAAAACAUUUUUUGAUACAUUUUUAUUUUUUUUAAAUUUUUUUUAUAAAAGAAGAAAAGAUCUUAGCACGAGGAGGAUGUGAGCGAUCACACACGUGCUUAAACCUUUAAAACAUUUUUUAAUAUUUUUUGUAUAAAAGAAGAGGACGAUGCAAGCGAUCACACACGUGCUUAAACCUCUAAAACAUUUUUGAUAUAUUUCUUAUAAAAGAAGAAAAGAUCUUAACACGAGGACAAUGCAAGCGAUCACACAUUUUUUUUUUAUGUUUUUUAAAUAUUUUUUUGAAUUUUUUAUUACUUUUUCUCAAUAUAAAAAUAUAAUAAUAUUUAAGUAAAUAAGUAGAAAAAGUCUAAAAUAUUUAAAGUGGGGUAAAACUAGUAAUUAGGAGUGCACAAAAGAAAGUUAGACAAACAUAUAAACAUAUAAUAAAAACAGGGGUACACCAAGUAAAGCAAAUAAUAAUAAUAAUAAUAAUAAUAAUAGUAAUAAUAAUAAUAAUAAAAGUUUGCACAAUGGAAGUGGGCUUAGCCUCUCUUCCUCCGAGCGAAACACCCAGAACCAACCACUCUCACCGCCUGCGUUUCUUCCUCCCGGCCAGCCGCCGCGUCGACAUUCGAGCUCGGCCUGAGAUGCCGCCGGCGAAGCAGGUCGCCACCGCAGCCUUAGCCAGCCGCGUGCACCACCGCCCUCCACCGAGAUCUCGCCCCUUUUCGCGUGUGAGAGGAGAACGCACACCUUCCACCUUGCGUUCUUGCCACCGUUGCCUCCACCUAAGACGGCCGUCGCGAGUUGCGGCGGAGGUGCUUCCUCACCGGCGCCACCAGCGCCGUUCUCCUCCCUCUCCAUUCGAGGGUUUUCUUUCCUUUCCCUUAAACGCCAGCGCCUCCAGCAGCACCACCGCCGAUGUCGGGGACGAAAAUGAUUUUUUUUGCUUUAUUGGUUAAUUCAUCUAUCAAUUGAUGUUUUGUUUACUGGGAUUGGAAACAUUGGAGUGUGUGUUGGGUGCUAGAAGUUGGUCUUUGUUCUUGGUGAUUAGUUUUUAUUUCUGUUGCUUUGUGCAGUGCAUGUUGAGAAUGGUGGUGUUAUGCUUGAGCUGGGAUGGAGAUUCUAAUGAGGAUGAAGAUACUGGUUAUAUUUUUUUGUUGUGUUUUCCUGAUAAGUAUCUAGCUUAACAGCAAAGGGGAUGGUGAUGAUGGGUAAGAAAGUAGGCUACUAUAGUGGCCGGAGAUGAUGGUGAGUGAGAACGAAGAGCAGAUAAGACAAGCAAGGCAAUAGGAAGCAUAAAACUCAUACACGGGGGCAGAGCAAUAGAAAGCAUAAAACGCAAUAGCAAGCAUGGAUUGCAGUCCAUAAUACAGCAAACUUACUCCAUUAUACAUCCUAACAUGAACGAGUAAAUGAGUGAAGGAGUUGCUUACCUGAGUUUCUGUGCUAUUGCUGAUGAUCUCCUCUCUUUUCUUGGCCGGCCUCCCUUUUGUUUCUUUCUUUUCUUGUAAAUUGAGUACGCCUCCUCCAGGAAUGGAAUGGAUGAUGAAGGUGACUCUUGAUGGAAGCAAAGGCUAGAGUGUGAACUGGUACGGUGGCUCUCAAAUGUUAAUGGAGGAUGCAGAUGGUUCAAAGGAUGAGAAUGCAGAUGUUGUUGAAUGGAGAAUGCAGAUGUGGAAUGUUGUUGAAGGAUUUUUUAAUGUUGUAUAACAGAUGGAUGAAGCCAAAGAAUGGCUAUUCGCGGAGGUAAAUGAGAAGAAGAUAUUCUGUAUUUUUUUUUUGUCGUGAGAACUUGGCUUAGUGAUGAGAAAUGGGAUUUAUUCGAGGUCGAGUGAAUAGAGGAAUAGUGUGAGAGUAAUGCUUCUCUGAGUGAAAAAAUGGUUUCUGUUAAACAUCCCCCGGUUGGGGAAAAAAUGGUUCCUCCUUUUGUUGUUUUGGUUCCUGCACCUUGCGUGAGGAGGCUAAAGCCUGACACUCCAUUGCUUCCUGCUCCAGCCAUCCCUGGUGCUUGUGCAUUCCUUUUUCUUCUUAAGGCAAUUAGCUAAAAUAAUUUAGGCUUGAAGCCACUGAGCUAAAGAUUUCCACCCAAAAUUGGGUGACGCACCUUCAUAGAAAAAGAUUUGAUUUACAAAAAGGUUGAUAGUACUGGAAACAGAGAGGAACGGACAAAUGCAAUAGCUUAUCACGCUUUUUUUUGUUUUGUUUUCUUUUGUUUUUUUCUUUAUAAGUUUUGAUUCUUUCUUUUCUUUUCUUUUUUUUAAAUAAGGGACUAAAUAAAAUACAGUAAAUUAAACUAAUAUUAAAAUACUAAUAUAAAACGAAAUAAUACUAUACAUGUAGUAAAAUAUAAAAUAAAUAAAUAAAUAAAACAACAUAAUAAUAAUAAUAAAGUAAAACAAAAUAGAAUAACAACUAAAAAUAAUAAUAAUAAUAUAAUAUAAUAUAAUAAAGUAAAAUAAAGAACUAAAAUAUUAUAAAAUAAAAAUAAAAUAAGACAAAAUAAAAAGAGAAUGAUUUUUUAAUCUACUCGGACGAAAUUGUGUGUUGACAGUCGGCGCCAGCUAAAAGUCUUGAAAGGUGAAGCAUCUUAGCGGAGAGUCGUAAUAUUAUGCGAGGGUUGUAAUAAGAGGCAAGUGUACUUCCAUCUCUAUUAGACUCAAUAGAUUUCCAUACUUCUUCUUGAAGGUUUCUCUCUUUAUGGUCUUUAGCCGUUUGCCUAAGAUUAUCAGCCCUAUUAGAUUUCCCCCAUGAGUCCUUAGGCGAGGUUUCCUUCUUAAAAUGGUAGAAUCGGUCUGUUGUGUAAUAUCGAAUCUUAUAUCAACUUCCAUCUUAAAAUGGUAGAAUCGGUCUGUUGUGUAGUAUCGAAUCUUAUAUCAACUUCCAUCUUAAAAUGGUAGAAUUGGUCUGUUGUGUAGUAUCGAAUCUUAUAUCAACUUCCAUCUCGUAUGAGAUCAAGUGAAUAACUGUUCAAAUGAUGAAUGAACAUGAUGCAUGGUAAACAACGAAGUAAAAACAAUUGACUAAAAAAAUGCAUGCAUGCAAUGUCAUUAUUUUUAAAAAAGAACAAAUUGUGAGGAUUACAGGAAUACACAUUUCUCCCUCUGUGCCCUAAUAAAGGUUAACUGUUAUGGAUUCGAGGUCAAAUAUUUACAAUCUCACCAGGAUGAUUCCCUGAACCUAAAGGCCAAUGGUCACUAGAGCUAUGGUCCACUUCAUAGCAUCUCCACAACAUUCGAGUAAUCAACUAGGUGCGGAGACACAAGUGAAGAGAACAAACUCUAACCGGGGUUCUCAUGAUAACCAAAUAGGAAGUAUGUCCCAAGUGGCACCGCUACACAACCCCUCAUUUCUAAGUUACACUCAGACCCGGGUAUAGGGCUCUACUCAUGAUAUGCAUAAAGUGUGUGUGUGUGUAAAGGGAGAAUCCAAUGCAUACCCAAACCCUCACCUGCAAAACAACCAGAAAAAUACCAGGCAGAUACAAACAUGUUUUCUACCCUAGGGUUCAAUAUCAAAACAAUUCACAUGCAAUUAUUUAAAACAUCAAAUAUAGAUAAAGAAAAAAGGAAGAAAAGCAUAAAGCAAAACCACAUCAAAUUCACGCAUGUAAUUAAAUGGCUUGACUCUAAGGUAUCCCAGUGGAGUCGCCAUUUGCCGCAACCGGAAUCGCGACAGGAUGACGAUCCAAAAAAAGAAACGGGUUUGGAAAAAGAGAUUGGAGUCGCCACCAUAGUUUAUUCUGGAAAACUACGAAAAAACCAUAAAAUGAUAAGGCAUAGUCUGUGAAAAUCAGAUUCUGGGUUCGAGAGUCAGUUACGUGUAGGGAAGGUAUUAGCACCCUACAACGUCUGCCCUAAGGCAGUACCUUUAAUUAAAUACGCAAAUGUGAUGUGGUUUUCAAAAUGUUUAAUUAUCCCCGAAAAUGACGCUAUAAAGAAACAAAAGAUUUUUUUUUUAACUUUUGAGAAAUUGUUGAGAAAAUUUGUUUGGAAAAGAUUUGGACUUUUGGGAAGUGAACCUGACAAGGGCUAGCCUUGCUCCUACGUAUCUCCACUCUGGUGGAGAAUCAAAGAUCACGUAGUUCUGGCUAAAAGAUUGUUUAUUCAAAAAUGGAUAUUUUAAGUUUUUUGAAGAUUUUUUCAUUUUUGGUAUUUUGGCAUGAUUGAGAAAAAGAAGGUAAUAAAUACCAGGCUUACGCAGAUGGUCACACAAGUACUCAUACCUUUAAAAUUAUUUUUAUAAGAGAAAGGAAAAUAUUAAGCACUAAAACGAUGUGAACGAUCACACGAGUGCUCAUACCUUUAAAACAUUAUUUUUGUUAUUUUUUUAUUAUUUUUAAAGGAAAGAGAAAGGUAUCUAGUACAACGACGACGCUAGCGGUCACACGUGUGCUUAACCUUUAAACAUAUUUUUGAUAUUUUUGAAUUAUUUUUCUUUAAAAGAAAAAGAAAAGGUUUUUAGCACAAGGACGACGUGAGCGAUCACACGUGUGCUUAACCUUUAAAAUAUAUUUUUUUUAUUUUUAUUUAAGAGAAAGAGAAAAUGUUUUUAGCACAAGGAUGACGUGAACGGUUACACGUGUGUUUAACCUUUAAAACAUAUUUUUGUUAUUUUUAUUUAAAAAAAAGAGAAUAUUUUUAGCACAAGGACGACGCGAGCGAUCACACAUGUGCUUAACCUUUAAAAUAUAUUUUUGUUAUUAUUUUUAAAAGAACGAGAAAAGAUUUUUAGCACAAGGACGACGCGAGCGAUCAUGCGUGUGUGUAACCUUUAAAACAUAUUUUUGUUAUUUUUAUUUAAAAGAAAGAGAAAAGGUUUUUAGCACAAAGACAAGGCGAGUGGUCACAUGUAUGUUUAAUCUUUAAAACAUAUUUUUGUUAUUCUUUUUAAAAGAAAGAGAAAAGGUUUUUAACACAAGGACGACACGAGGGGUCACACGUGUGCUUAACUUUUAAAACAUAUUUUAAAAGUGUUUUUGUAAUUUUAUAAUUUUAUCUUUUCUUUUAUAUUUUUCUUUUUUGUCUUUUAUUUUAUAAAUUUUUGAACACUAAUUUUAUUAAAAAACGACUAUUGAGGUGCAACCAGCAAAAUAUAAGCGAACCCAAACAUAAGAAAGAGUAACGAAAAAAAAAAACAUAAAGGUGUGGUGUGUGCAUUUGAGAGGCAAGUGCAUGAAGUAAAACAAAAGGAAGAGCCGAAGAAACAUAAGGGUGUGAAUCCAAAGAGGGCUUAGGGUCUUCUUCGUCGUCGCUACAUCUCCACUCAUCCAGACCAACGCUGCCGCACAUCUCCUUGAGCGACCAAGCAUCACCGCUGGUGGCGACCGUGGAGGGAGAUCGACCCAGAUGCAGAGAAACCCCCAACGACGACAAUGGAAGGUGCAACAACUAUUGUGUUGCACGGAUUGGGUGCACCUGUAGUAACUAUGAGGGUACUUGUUGCCUUUCACUUGUUUUUGGCAAUAAAUCAGCGUGAUGCUUCCAAAUGAAAACGAAAUUAGUAAGUGUGCCUCUGUAACAACGCGUUUCUUCCAUAAUGAACUAGUGCCUCUCUUUUCUUAAAGUACCAAAUGGAAUGUCGCUUCUCUAAAAUAAAAAUGAAUCAGUAUUGUGCUAAAAGAAAAUCACUCUGCAACUCUUCCCUUAAUGAAAAAUGCAUAUUCUUCAUAAACUUCCAUCACCAGCCAAAAGGAAUGACCGCAUCACCAUAUGCACACUCUAACGCUGGACGCGACUUUCCAGCAAAGAAAAAGAAAUGAAUCCUGCCUGCACCGCUUCAGGCCGUGACACCUCCAGCUCCCAAAAGCUAAAUGCAAGAGUGAGGUGCUUAUAAAAGAAAUUGAACCUCCGCGUGUCACCUCCAGCUAGCAAAAAUGAAUGCAUUUUCACCAAGAAAAAUAAUAAGGUUCGCAUGUGCCGCUUCCUUCCAAUGAAUUAGCACCUCCGAUCUUAAAAGAAAUUGGAUGCUAGACAUCACAUUCUACCCGUGACCAUGUGCUGGAAUUAACAAAAUAAUCCAAUGCAAAAGUGUUGGUCGUAACAGCGUGUGCCUUCUCUUUUAAAACGAAGGCUUAAUAGCACUAAUGGUCCUAUUUUAGUCACAUGCGUUCAUUUUGGUUCUCAUAUUUUUUUUGUUCAAUGUGUUCCUAAAAAAUGUAAAUUUCGUUCAAUUUGAUCUUUUUUGCAAACAUCAUUUAAAUCGUUAACGGCAGGCAGUCCAAAUGUGCAGAACAAUGUUGAUGUGGCAUUUAACUGCCCACAUGGAGUCCUUCAGCCACAUUGAGGUGGAUUUUAAAAGAAAUGUGAUUUAUUUAAUGGAACCCAAUUUUUGACGAGGGUGGAGAGUGAAAUUAGGGUUAGGGUUUUUUACUUUACUUCAGUGAAAGCGAAAGUGAAGUUCAUGGUUAGCCAAUCUUGUUCCCAAUCUUGGUGGUUGAUGAGCCAUGUCUCCUUCCCAAUCUUCUUCUUGUUUUUGCAAUAAAUGGGUUCUCCUUUACUUCUCCCGACAAGUUAAAGUUUUUAUAAACCCAAGUCUGUGAACAAUGUCCAAGUUUCCUCUUUUUCCUUGUUGGUUCUCUUUAAUUGUAAUGUUAGAGUUGUUGAUGCUGUGAUUGAAACUGUUGACAGGGUUUUGAUAAAAAGGGUGUGUGAAUGUGAUUUUGGUCACUCUAUAUGAAAGUUUUUGGAGUCUCUGGGGCUAUAAUUCUCACUGUCUUGGUUGAGUUUGUCUAUGAUUUUUUGGUCACUCUAUGAUUUUUAGAAUUUUCGUUUACAGGUCUGUGGUGAUUGCGGUGUUGGCCUCAAGGUUUAGGUGUGGCGGCGCUAGGGUUAUAUUUUUAGAAAGAAAGUAAGGUUUUGAUUUUUGGUUGGGCUGAAGGUUGAAGACGAUGGUGAUGUGGCUCUGUGUUUUCUAAUGAAUGAAGGUUGUUCAAUCUAGUCCUCUUUUCUGUAAAUUAUUUUCGAAUGUGGUCCCUAUGAUGAUGACUGAUCUAGCCUACGUCAGUAAAUAAAUGACAGUUCACUCUCUAAUUGCACAUGUGGAGAUUUGGUCGUUAUCGAUUUAGACGACAUUAGUAAAAAGGACUAAAUUAAACACAAAUUACGAUUUUUAGGACAACAUUGAACAAAAAAAAAUAUAAAAACCAAGAUGAACGCACGUGACGAAAAUAGGCAUUAAUGUUAUUAAGCCUAAAAUCCAAAAUUAAUUAUUCCAUGGGCGUGCUUGCUUUUUUUUUCUUCAUUUUAUUUCUUUUCUUUUUUUUUUCUUUUUCUUCUUUUUUCUUGUUUUCUUCGUUUUCUUUAUUCUUCCUUUUCUUUUUUUCUUUUCUUUCUUUUUUCUUUGUUUUCGUUUCUUUUUUUUUUCGUUUUCUUUUUUUCUUUUCUUUUUUUUUUGUUUUCUUCUUUUCUUUUUUUUUCCUUUUUUUUUCACUUUUUUUACAUUUUUUUUCAUAUUAAAUAAAAUAUAAUAACAUGAACAAACAUAAAAUAAAAAUAAAUAAAAAUAAAAAAGGAUUAGUCAACCUAAACGAAAUUGAGUGUUCACAUGUUGAACCAGUAUAAAAAUUGUGUUUGAUUUUCUCUAUUCCUAAAUUCUUUACUUUAAGUCAACUUUACUAACUUUAUUUUUCUGUUGCACUGAUUUAUCUUUUUAAAUUUUAAAGGUUUAUACUUUGCAAAAAAGACUCUGAUUUUUGAACCUCACCAAUUCACUCCCCUCUUGGUGUUGAAACUAAGUCAUUCUUUUUCCAACAACUUAUUUGUUUGAUAUAAUUAUAAUGCAUGCUAGAUUUAGGUGAAUGGCGAGAAUGUUACAGUCGUUGAUAUCGUGUCGUCAUGUGACCGAGGGUACUGUUGCACAUCAGGUGUCAGUGGAACUGCUUCAGGUUGCUAAUGAUGGUAUCGACAAAUAUCCCCAACUAGGAUAGGACAGAGGCAUGUGCGUGUUAGACAGUCGACGUCUAAUUGAUAGGAAUUUGUCACUCAGCCUUCUUUUUUUUCUGCUUUUAACAUUUCCUUCGUACCCAUUUUUCGUUUUUUUAGCAUUGUUACUAUGCGCCAGAGUUUUGAAUGUUGCUUCUAUAGCCAAAUUUGUGUACUCUUUUUUGCCUUUCUCAACGGUUGCAUUUCAUUUCAAGUAAUAAUUCUACUUUUCAAAGCACGAAUUUAUGUUUAGCUCGCUCAUCCACUAAUGUUUGAGAAUUUGUCUGCACUGCUUGCUUUGAAGGAGUUAGAUUAACAAUUUGUCCUUGGGAAGCUAUUGGGAACUGAGAGUACGCAUGCGCUGCAGGGUUUGUGUGUGUAUGAGACUGAGAGGGACCUAUAACCCUUUCCCCCGCCUUCCCUAGGUGUCUGGAUAUUUUUAAUGUGAUAUAUAUCAGGUCAUUGAAGUUUCAUAGUUGUUAUUUGUUGAAUGUGGGAAUCCACGGGUGAUGUUGAACAGGUAGUAAUACUCAUUAAAAUGUACUCAGUUGAAUAUGAGAAUCUACUGGUGACGUUGGGUUGUUAGUAACAACCUUUCAUGUGUAUUCAAUUGAAUGUGAGAAUCUACGGGUGAUGUUGACCUGAUGGUAACAAUGAUUCAAAUGUAUUCAAUUAAAUGUGAGAAUCUCCGGGUGAUGUUGAACCAUUUGUAACAACCAUUUUGUUUUCUUCCUGCACUGCAAAUGUUUAAAGUUUUAUGUCUUUAAUGUGAAUUUAGUUUUCACUGUGCAUAACUGUCAUUACUAAUUUGGUUGAACCAUUUGGUUAUCACUGUGCGCAAUCCCAAUUUUGGAAAAAAACUCUCUAACUUUUCUCAUUUACUAAUAGAAUUCAUUUCAUAAAGUGUAUUCACAAUUAAUAUUAAGUUAAAAAUAAUUUGGACACAUUUUGUACGCUUAAUUAGCUUAUUCAUUUAAAGUUUAUUAUAUUAAUAUUUAGUAUGUGUGUGUGAAGUCAAUUUAUAUUAUGAAGAUGAAUAUAAAUUUAUUUUGUAGCGUUGAACUUUUCUGUUUGUUGAACUUUUCUUUUUUGUGCACCCUUUGUCUUGACUUUAUGUAAUGGAGGGACCACUGAUGUCAAUGUAGGACAAGUAAUGUCAAGUAACUUCUGCUUUAUGGUGAUUUUACCUCCAAUGACGACCUCAUUGAAUUGUUCUUCUACUUGUUUCAGCUCAUCUUUAAUGGAUAAAUGAGGCUCGAUUUCAUUUAAUUUAACAUUUGAGAAAUGAAAUCUUUGCCAAAUGAUAUGAAAUUCACCCAUGGGGAUCAUCCCAGGAUCAUACUGUGUUAAUUCACAUGCACAGGGGACACCAAAUGUACGUCUCAAUACAUAUCCACACUUUGAUGACUCUAAUCCUAUCUGCUACACUCUUUCCAAUUCCUCAGCAAUGAGAUCUAAGGCAUAUCGAGAGACACGCCCAAUAAGUUUUCUAUAUUUGUAUCCUUUAAAAGGGUCACUCGUGAGCAACAAACUUCUUUCAAAUGAUGUCUUACUCUUAUUAUGUUGUAGGAUAACGACGUUAUGAAUACUAUCCCAACAAGAAUACAAAUCACUCAUACUAUUGCUCAGAAUUUUCUUCAGACUCCAAUGAGCAGACUCAACCCUAAAAUAAAAAAAAAAACAUCAACAAGUGCAAAUAAAUAUUUAUCUACAAAACAAAUAAAUAAAAUAACAUUACAACAUACUUAUUUGUGGUUGUGCUCCCUAAAUGCAUUACUCUGUUCAUCCAAAACUUUACAAAGUAUGUACUGUACGGAGUAAUCCAAGUCUGAUUCACAUAUUCAAAGAACAAAAGCCAUGAGCUGCUCGUGUAUUGAAGAUCAUUCACAUACUCAGCAAACAAGCUUUCAUCAGCACAUUCCAUCACAUUUUCCCAUGCAUCCAUCAACACAUCCCAAGCCUCAGUAGAACGAACUAACAUUUUGCAUUUAGCUUUAACAUUUUUAAGGAUGUGGAACCGACAUACCAUCUUAUAUGACUCAGGGAAUACAUUUGCAAUAACAUUCAUCACAGCCAAGUCUCGAUCAGUGACAAUGACUUUAGGACCACCCUCAGAUGUUAAAAAUAAACCUUUCAGCUUUUCCAAAGCCCAUGUGAAAUUACUCUACCUUUCAGUAAACAAGAAAGUAAAUGUUGCUGAGAAGGUUAAACCUGCACACGUCAUGCCCACAAUCUCAAGCAACGAAAGUCUAUAUCUGUUUGUUUUAUAUGUGGAAUCCAUCAAAUAUACAACAUUAAAUGAGUUUAACUUUACUCUUUGUCACGUCAACCAAUAAUGACUGCUCACUCAUAUUUAACCUGUCAGCAUAAGGGUGCCCAACUAAAGUUUCAGCCAACCCAUGGUUGUGAUGUUCAACACCCAUCCAUCCCCAUCUAAACAUGGUUUACCCUUUAAUCUAAACGGACACUCACAUUUACGAGUGUCGUAUAAACUAGGCACCGCAUCGCCUUUGUAUUUUCAAUAUUUCCCUCCUCUUUCACAUCCAAGUAUGACGAACGUUUUUCUUCCUCGUACACUAGUAGCAAUAUCAGAUCUUACUAUUACCACAACAAAUCCUAAAUCAUAAGUCAUCCCUCUUACCCAAUCAAUUAAGUGCUCCCGUGAACGAAAUAUUUCAUUUGUGAUAAAUUUAUUUGUCAAAUCUCCCUCUAUAACUUCGUCAGUGAAGGAAGAGAAAUCGGAUAUCAAAUUAGAGCCAACUUGAGAAUCCAUACAAAGAUAUUAAUCAAACAAAUAUAAAAGUAUUAAUAUAAUAAAAUUAUAUAUUUCAUAUAAUUAAACUAAUAAGUAAUUUUUAUAUAAUUACAUAAUUGUUAAACAAUUAAAGAUACAAAUAAAAAAUAUAUAUAUUAUAAAAAAACAUUAAAUUUAAAAAUUAAUUAUAUAUAACAUGCAAAAUACAAAAAUAUAAAUAUAGAUCUUCAAAGAUACAUUAUUAAAAUACAUCAAAAAUAUAUUCAAAAAUAAUACAUCAAAACAUAUAAGUUACUUUAUUAAAAUAUCUCAAAAUUAAUAUAAAAGAAUAAACUAAUAAAAACAAAAUCUUAAAUUAAUGUGGAAACCCUUAAACGGAUAUGAGUAUCCGUCAGCGGAUGUCAACAUCCGUCUCCGUUUAAGGUUAAACGAUGUCGACAUACGUUUCAACUUAGUUGACAUCUGUUGACGGAUGCUCAUAUCCGUUUAUGGAUUUUCACGUUAAUUUAAGGUUGAUUAUGUACCUAACGUAGUGCACCUUCACCUGUUUGCACCUUCAAGCACCAUCGAGACUUUCAAGCACCAACGGACUGAACUUUGUCACCUCUAAAACAAUUCCUUCCACCACCACUUGCAAUCGUUCACUCGCCACACUCUCACACCACAAUGAAAGAAAGAGAGGAGAAAGAAUUGACACAAUGAAAGAAUAACAAUGAGAGCACAAAGUAGAAUAACGUAAAAGAGGAUUAAGAGAUUGUUUGUCGUUGCAUGCGCUUAGAAGAUUGGAGUGGGUAGAAAUUACAAAAUAUUAACCCUAAAAGUAAAAAUUUACUAAAGGAUAAAAUAGGAAUAAAGAGAUGGAGUGAGGGGUAAAAGAGGAAGGGGGAGGUGGAGGGAGCAAGGGGUGGUGGUAGAGGAAGCAACACCCCACAAUUUUAGGGCAAAUGCUUCCCACACCUCAUCAAUUUCUAUCUCGACUGCAUUUUUGAAUUCCACUUUUACCAUUGAUUGAUUUAUAUGAAAGUCGUCUCCUUCCCAAAGACAAUGGUGACUGGUUUAUUGUACGUUCAUGUGGUUGAUCCAGGAAGCUUUGUUAGAAGUGUUUUGGAAUAGAUAUGGUAGGUGAGAAAUGGUUUUUGGAUUCUUAUUUCUGAAAUAAUAAAGCAUGAUUUCAGAAAAUAAAAAUCAAUCCGAAAGUAAUUGAGGUAAUCAUGCAUUGUUUUCAGAAAAUAAAUUCCAUAUUGUAUUGUUAAAUAUGUAUUCUGGAAAACAAAAUUCGGAAGUAUAGACGUAAUUUCUAUAAAAGACAUUUUUAAUAGUGUGCAAAUAUUCAUCCGGAAAUAAAGUUAAGAAUUCUGGAAUGUCGUGUGCAUACUAUGAAGUGCACCGUGAGCAAAGGAGGGAGAAUAUGUGCAGUCCAUAGACUAUGAAGCAAAAAGAGAAAGUUGAAUCCAAAUCCAAAUUCCUCCAAAACUAACUAAAAAUUCAACUACCAUUGAAUUGAAUCAAAUAAAUAGCUAGGUGUGAAGUCGAUAGUCACCAAUCUCGAUCCUUACGACGAAGAAGUUUUCGGAGCUUAUAAUAAUGGAAGAGAAUCUUCCAUUUCCAUUUUCUAGAAUUUUGUUAAGAAAAUUGACGAAUAUUGAAGAGGGGAAAAUGUACCACUGUGGGGAAAUCGGCACAGAGACACUGGCUGGCGUUGGCGUUGGAUUUCCUGGAUUAUGAAUUCCGAAAAUGUGUUCAGGAAUGCCAAGACUUGCGCACUGGGUAAAGAACAAGAGGAUUAGGUUUAGAUUAAGAAAACUCAUGAGGUUACUUUUGACAUUUCAAAUAUUUGAUAGGAGUGCAGGUUGAAAUUUGAAGUAGUGCAGGAAACAAUUGCCUAAUUUUAUAAAAGGUUUAAAUCCUCGGAUAGUCCUCGUAUUUGUAGCGGAAUCUCAAGUAGGUCUUCUGUUAGGGCAAAUUGGCAAGUGUACCGAGUCGCACAAGUAAUAUAAAAUGGUAAGACCAAGUAUAGUAUCCCAGAGGACUCUCGGCGCUGAACAGUUGUGUGAAAACAAGAUUAAUUAAGACUUAAAAUAAAAGAGAUAAUGGGUUUGGAGUGCAAAAAUAAUAAAGAAAAUAAAAUGCAGUUGAUCAGUGGCAAAAAAGCACAAAGAUGAAUGGAGGUUGAUUUAUGUGAGAUGAGUAUGUUGUUGGGUUUAGAUUUCACCAAGUUCCCUCUCAUGUAUAUAAGAAUUCUUCUUUAUGCAUUAAUGCCAACGUCCCUCACUAAAUCACUUAAACCCGAUCCCUUGGUAAAUAAGCAUGUCCCUAAUUAUCAGUUCAUACAAUUCCUAGCAUUCCUGGUAAAAAGAUGUGAAGAUCAAGAGGUUAAGACGACUAAAACUCAUACCCUCAUCCCUAAGCAAUAUAACCCUUAGGAGUAAUUCAACAAGAACCUAAAUUGAAAGGAACCUCCCGGCACUCAUGCAAUUCAUAAGCAAGAAUAAAAACAGAUGAAUUACUCUAACAAUUAAUGAAAAAGCAUAUGAAAUUAAGAAUCAAUUCAAAUAUAUGAGAGUUUACAAGGUUACAUCAUUCCCCAACAACAAAGAGAAAUUAGUCCCCCAUAGACAUGGGGGAACUCUAUGAACAAUGGAAGAAAGAAAGAGAAUGGAAACUAAGAAUUGGCUAAGAGUUUAUUGCUAUGCUCUUCUCUACCAGGGAUGCAAAACCUAGAGCCCUAGGGUCCUUUAAAUAGUGUUAGACACGUCCCAGAGUGUGGCCCGGUCCAAAAGAAUCAAAUCAGAGCCGAAACAAGGCCUGAUCAACGUGAAAUCACGCUCAAGCGUAGUAGGGAGCUCGCUCAAGCGUGAAUUAAGGGUCAUGUUGGGCUUGGGCGUCAGUUUUGGACGCCCAGGCUACGAAGCAGUGCCGCCCGGGCGUCGAGGGCCACCACCCGAGUGGCGGACGUCGAUUUUCUGCGCUUCAGCUGCACUCCUGGUCGCUUGGGCUGUGGGUUUUCCCUCAUUCUGGUGCCUUUUUGACCCCUUCUGAUAUCCUUCUUCUUGGUCUUUCAUCUCUUCUUCCAGUAUUACCUCAAUCUUUGUCAAAACAAGGGAAAUUAGUCAUAAAAUCAUUGAAAUCAACCUCAAGUCUCUUUUUCACACAAUUUAUUCAAAAAGGAUGACUCCAAACAAGUUUCUAAGUGAAAAAGGGUGCUUUUAGUAUCAAAAUCGCAUCACAAAUAAUGGUGUUUUAAACCGUUAUCACAACCCCAAAUUUAGAACUUUGUUUGUCCUCAAGCAAACCAAAUGUAAAUCAGUUUUUUAGAACAAUCACUACAAUGACUCAAUCUCUUUCAAAAACUUUUUUCUUUUAGGACAAGGAAUUACUUUUAUCAAUUCAACACGAAGAUCUCAGUCAAGAUGUGCAGAAUUCAAUCAAAGUUAAUGUGAUGCUCAAGUGUUAUCCUUAAGAAUAAUCAAUCAACCAAGCAAAGAUGCAAUCAGAAAUUCAGAGAAUUAUUCCUCACCAGGGAAAGUAUUUCACUCAAGCACUCAAAAGUGUCUCACUCGACUCACACGUGUAUGGUGUGGUGUCUUUCUCUAUUAUCACAAUGUCACACAAAUUAAUUUUGUCUUUCAUUUAACCACAAUCAAACAUACUCACAAGCAGGCUAUCAUCACAAAGGCUUUUCAUGGCUAGUAACUUGGCUGAGCUAAGAAGGAAAUUGAUUUUUCUGGUUAGCAAAGUUCCUUGAGUUAAGAGAGACAUUUGUGUCAAUACCAUUUAAGAACAACUCUCUUUCUUUUUCCCAGCUUUCCCUUACAGUGAGCUCUUUCUUUUUCUUUUUGAAUUUUUCUUUUCUCACUUUUUCUUUUCUUUUGCGUUUGCUUUUCAAUUGCUUUUUCUUUUAAUUGCUCACUGCCUAAAGAAAUGGGUUGUUACCUAGCAACCCCAAACUUGAACCUUUAUCAGUACCUCAUCAAAUGUUCUCAACUUAACUCAAGGUAAAGAUUUUUCAAAAACGUUUUUCAAGACAUGCAUAAGGGCUCAAGGUUCAAAGGUUAGAACAAAUUGUUCUCUUUUUAGUGGGCAAAAAUGUUUUGAAGGCCAAAAGAAUAAGGGAUAACAAAAGAUGACCUUGAUCAUAUGGAACGUGCAAGCAAGUAGUUCAAUCACAGAAAAUUUGGGCAAAAUCAUUCAUGCUUCCAAAGUAACAACAAUUAUUUAAAAACAACUCUGAAGCUCAAAACUCACACAGGUAAACUCACAAGUUCUGAAAUUCAGAAAAACAUCAUGCUCAGUAUUUUAAUCAUACUUUAUUUCAAGCACCUGUCUCACAAAUUAGGAUUUAUCAUCAUGCAUCAUCUCAACCUCAAUCAAACACUAGAAUCUCAUAAAGCAAAACUUAUCACAUAAAAUAGAGCAUGAUUGAAUCAAAGCAGUUCAGUUCAUUCAAGCAGAGCACAAUAAAAAUAGAAUAAAAUAAAAACACACAUUAAAGCCAAAAAACAAAAGUUAAAAGUAAAAGUUCAGAGCACUGGGUUUCCUCCCAACAAGCGCUUCUUUAACAUCACUAGCUUAACCCAAUAAGCUCAUGUCACAUCUUUUAUUUUGGUGUCAUCUUUUCCUUCAGCACACCAAUUGGUCUUCAGCAUUUUCCUGUUCACCUUCUUGGUUCUCCUAGAAGUAGGAGAUUCAAUCUCUAUCAACCCAUCAGCUCCGAGUUUUUUUACAACCCAGAUUUUUUUAUUGAACUGUACAGGAAAGCUUGGUCUCAGUCCUUCAUGCUCCGUUGGAGGCUUUUGGUGGACAUCUUCUCCUUUGCUAUCUUUCUCCUCUUCGUUCACCUAUGACAGGAAACACUUUUUACCUUUCUUUUUUGAUUUGGCAACCUUGGUACCAAUCCCGGGUGCAUCUUUAAAUGCAGCUUUGGGACUGGUUUUCUUCACUUGAGUUUGUCGCCCAGUAUUGCAGGCAUUGAAGAUCACCUCCUCUUCUUGGCCCUUGAGAGCUAUAGUACCCUCAUCAACAUUGAUGAUUACUUUUCCAUCUUCAUGAACGGUCUUCCAAGAAUAAUAGGGAUCUCUGCAUUUUCCUCCAUCUCUAAUACCACAGAAUCCACCAGAAACCUCAAGUUGGCGAUUUGCACCAUGACAUCUUCUACCACACCAUAGGAUCUUUUAGGCGAUCCAUCUUCCAUGAGGAGAGACAUCUUUGCCGGCUUAACUUCCAAGUCACCAAUCUUUCUGAGAACAGUUAAGGGUAUCAAAUUGAUAUUGGACAAGGUUUUCCCUAUUUUGUGGUUUCCAAUGUUGCAGGGAAUAGUAAAACUUCUUAGGUCUUCUACCUUUGGAGGAAGUGCCUUAUACAAGAUCACACUGCAAUCCCUUGUAUUUCAGUUGUCUCCACUUUUAAUUUUUUUUUUCUUAAGGAGCUUCUCUAAAAAUUCUUUAUAUUCAAGGAUCUGUUGUAGAGCCUCUAUCACAGGAAUUUCUAUCCCCCAUUCUUUGGAGAUUUCUUCAAAACACCCUACUUGCAUCUCUCUUGUGGCAUGUUCCUCAGGGUGGUGGACAUUUUUCUCACUUUUUUUUUAUUUUUUUCUUUUUCUUCUUUUUUUCUCUCAACCUCUUCUUCUUACUUUCUUUUUCUUCUCCUUUCUUUUCUUCCUCACUUUCUUUUUCUUCUCCCUUUUUUUCUUUCUCAUUUUCCAUACUUGUUAUAGCCUUACAUUCCUCUUUGGGGUUAACUUCAGUAUUAGCCCCAAAAUUUUUGAAAGGCAUCUCUUUCAGUUGUUGGGCUAUUUGGCCAACCUGUAUCUCCAAGUUUCUGAUGGCAGCAUAUAUGCUCUUCUAUGUGGAUAAGGUUGCCUGCAUGAAUUGUUGGAGAGUCUCUUCAAGCUUUGUGGUUCUGUCAGACAAAGAGUGUUGUUGCUGCCAUUGUUGCUGCUGUUGUGGUGGUCUAUUGAAUUGCCCACCAGUUUGCCCAAAUUGACCCUGUCCAUUGCUUGGGUGAGAUCUCCACCCUUGAUUGUAAUUAUUGGGACGAAACUGGUUUUGGUUGCCCAUGUAGUUAACUUCUUCAUUAAGAUUCUCGGGCACUGCAUAUUAACCAUUAAUAUGGUCACCACUACAUAACUCACAAAGCUGUUGUUGAAUUCGUGCCACGUUUUGAUGUUCCUUUUGUGGCUGCAUCACCUUCUUAGUCAGGAUAUCCAAUUGUUGAGUGAUGAUCUUAUUUUUCUCAAGCAAGGCAUCAUAAGGCUGUAAUUGUAAAACUCCUUUAGGUUUGGCAGGAGCUCCUCUCUCACUGUGCAUCUCAUUGUAAUUGAAAAAGCAUUUAAGGAAGAUUAAGAGAAGAAGAGAGGAAAACCAAAAAAGGAAGAAAGAACAGAGAGAGAAUGAGGAGCAUGAGAAAAGAAAGAAAGAGGAGCAAGUAAGAAGAGAGAGAAAGGAGGAGGAAAGAAUAAGAGAGUAUGAAGAGAAAAAGAAGAAAAGAAAGGAAUGAGAAAGAAAAGAGAGAAAAAGAAGAGAUUGAGACAAGAGAAGAAGAGGAAGAGUUACUAAAACCCCUUACCACUCCCAUAAUUAAGGUUGAGACUAAGAUGAUGAAGGGAGUUUUCCAAUCCUUGAACUUUUCUCAAUACAUCCAACCAUAUUUCAUAACUCCAACUUUUACUUUUGAAAACUUUCAACUUCUUUUUCACCUCCCACUAUUUUUAACUUCUCAAAUGUUUCCAAAUAACACUUUGAGUUGAUAUUACCUUCUAGGAUAGAAUUAACUCAAAGUAAACACAAACAAAUUUGUGGAAUAAACCUUCAAAGUUUUCAAGUAAAUUCUUUCAAAAUUAGCAUAAGGUCAUAUUUAAAUCUUUCAUCUAAAUACAUGUUGUUUGUGGCUCAUAAGAUUAUUGGUUUUAACUUUGAUGACACUUGCAUAUGGAUCUUUGAUCCUGGUGGAAAGAUACACAAAUUAACCAAUAGUAAGAAAAAUGUUUUUGUCAUAAAAGAACAAGAAGAUUUGAGGGCAAAUCUUUUUCAAAUGGGAGGGUAUGAUGGCAUAUCCCUAAAAAAUAACUCUUAUGUUGAAAUGGAUGGUCUUUCAAACAUAUACAUCCAACACAAGACAAAUAAAAACUUCAAAGAUGCUCCUACUCUUCAAGACCUUGAUCAUUCAUUUGAUUUAAGGUAUAUCAUUAUUGGGAGCUAUAUUCUUCAUUUACUCAUUAUUAAACAUUUGUUCUAACUUGUGCUAUAAAAUGGGUAUUUGACCUUGAUGGAGAAGCAAACAAAACUCCAGAGAAGAUAAGGAAGUUUGCCUUGUUCAAUCCAUGUUGAAUAUUUGAGGGAAAAUCAUUUUCAAGAGGGAGGGAAUGAUGGAAAAUCCCCUAACCAUUGUCAAGCACUUUCAAGAGAGUGGAAGCCAUCCAGGAAGAUGUCAUCAACUCUACCUUGUGGGCCACCUUUGGAGUCAUAAUGGAGCAUGGAUUGAAGAGUAAUGUAGGUUUAUUUACGCCUUGUAUUUGGCCAUGUAGUGUAGGUUUGAUUAAGAUUUGUAUUAAGGCCUAAGUAGCAUAGGAUUUUCCUUAAGUUAGAUAUCCAAACCAAGUGGAAAGUGUAUGUCAUGUGUCAUGCUUUCAUUGGAGAGGAUUUACUUUUUAAAAGGUAGCCACAUGGAACCCUAGGAGUGGAGAGGAUUUACUUUUAGUAGUUGUCACAUGGCACUCUAGGAAUGGACAUGAUUGUGUUUUGUGAGUGGCCACAUGUCCUCCCAUCAUUGGAGAGGUUAAAAGGCCUCAUUUUUGCCCAAUAAGAGCAAAGGUGGGAGAUCAUGCUUUUAGGGUUAGAAGGAGACACCCUUGGACUAUAAAUAGAGGUGUCUCCACUCUUGUAUUUCCUCUUGAAAUUAAGUAACGUUAUGCUGCCAAAAUAUAGCCAUACUCUUCCUUGAUCAAGACUAGAACAACCUUAGAGGCUCUUCUAAUCACCUUCUUCCUUGAGUAGGCAUCAACUCUCUUAGAGUCAUCAAACACUAUACUACCACCACCAUAUCUCCUAGAGACUUUGAGCUUCUACCCCAUCCAUACCUUAACUCAUCAUCCUUGGACCAUUUAUCACCAUGUUUUCAUACCAUUCAUCUAAAAAAACAAUUCUUCAUGCAAAUCUCCUAACUUUGACCCAACCUAGCCAAAGAGAUUGUCAUCACUUUUGAUGGGAUGCGAGGUGAAAUUUGAUGGAAUACAAGAAGCUUUAGCCUUUAUCUUUUCUAUAUAAGCACACAUGCUUUUAGAAUCUAAUAGUGUAAAAUGCUAAAAGAAGAAAGAGAAAAAAGAAACACUCUUCUGACUGGGGUUUGAGAGUUUUACUUUUUAUUUUUCUAAAAAGUUGGAAAAAAACAAAGAAAAUAAUAGUUUUCCAUUAGAGGAUUCUCUGUCAAUAAACAUUUUAUGUUUGGAUUUACUUAUUUGUAUAUAAAAUUUGUGUUUUUUCUUGGAUAGUUUUUAUGCGUGAAUGUGUAAAAGGUUGCCAUAUAUUUAUUUCUUAAGCAUAUCAAAAUCGAGACGAAAUAAAUACAAUAAAAUAUUAAGAUAUCAUUAACAAAAUUAAGAAAAUGAUGGUUAGACAAGGAAUAAAAGAAGAGAAUCGAAAUAGGCUAACAUAAGAUUGAAAAUUGAAGAAUGAUCCAAAACUCAAAAAGUACUUUAGAAAAGCAAAUUAUUAUAAAACAUGAGUUUAGUAGACAUAAUUAACACAACGUGAAUGAUUUUUAAAUAAUAAAAUAUAUAAUUUUAUUUUAUUUUAUUUUGACUUGAUUGUUAAAAAAAUAAUAAAGAAAAUAUAAAUAGGUUGCCCACAUGUAAAAAAGAGGUAAUAAAAUAUAUUUAAAACAUAAAUAUUCUAAAAACGCCUUGAACAAUAUUAUGACAAAUUUAGUGAUUAUGUUUAUUUUGGAUCAUCAUUUGUAUUGAUUUCCUUUACCCAUCUCUUAUUUAUCCCUAGUAAUUUAUUUAUUUUCAAUUUACAUUUUUUCAUUUUAAUUACGUUUCUCGCACGUUCAUGUUAUUCAUCUUCAUCUUCGUCAUUUUUCUUAACUACAUUUAAUUUUCAUUGGCACCUUCCAAUAUCUAAAACAAAAAAAAAAAAAACAUAAUUAUUGAAAUGAAAUACAUAAAUUUCUUAGGUUAAAACUCUCUUUUGGUUCUCAUAUUUGUCUGUCAAUCUCAAUUUAGUCAUUAUAUUUUUUUUUGUCUGAGUUGGGUCCUAUAACUUGUAAAAAUGAGACAAUUAAAUCCUCUCCGUUAACUAAUGACUAACGCCGUCUGUUACUGAUGACGUGGUACGCAGAAAAUUAGGUGAUUUAUAAUGAUUUAAUUACGUGGAUUUUAAUGUUAAAAAUUAAAACUUCAGAUGUGGAAUAUGGUUUUAUAAUUGGAUUUUUUUAUUGAAUCAGAAAACAAUAUGUGGGGGAAUUAGGGAUUUAAGUAAUUGGGAAUUUGAUGAGUAUCAGAAAUAAGAAGAAACCCAGAAAUUGGGAAUCAAAGGGAACCAGAGGAACCUAGAAGCGUUCAUCUCCUCUGUUCGUGCGCGUCCGCCUCAGCCUCCACCCAGUCGGCCGCCUCGAGUCACGGUCCAAGGCGUCGACAACACCGCUGUUCACCACCGGAGGCAUCGCCGACCAUGGCGUGCCACCAACGCCACCAGUCACCGCCAAGCUCGUCGUUGGUCACCAUGUCAACGUCACCAACGCUGACUCCUCCGAUUCACUCGCAAGGAGGGAAACCUUUUCCCUCUUAUUCUCCUUUCCCUUUUGGUUGUGCAUUUUCUUGAAAAUAGAGGUUUUCUUAUGAAUUAUUUCCAUUUUCUUUUGCAUUUAAACUUUUUCAUCCAGAAGAAAGUGGAACUGAGUCUGAGGAUGACAAUGAGAGAAAUGAUGUAGUUGAGGAAGAAACAGGUGAUAAAGACAUUGCCUUUUUUGACACUCAGGAUUUUGUGUCAUCUUCGAAUUCUUUUAAAAGUAAUGCUUCUGAUAUUAGGGUCUCGUCUUUCUCUUCAGACGAUGAAGGACUCUAUGUUGUUGAGUCAGAGGAGGAUGUAGAUCCUUCCAUUAGAUUUGUUGGAUUCAACUAUCCUUACGUUAAGCGGUGAAAGAAAUUACCUGAUCCAUUAGAUUGGGAAGGAUCUAACAAAAGUUUGCCUUCUGUUUAUUUUAAUGAGCCUCUCUCCUCUUUGCAAAAUUGUUGUGAAGAAAUGGAAUACUCAUAUCUUCUAGACCGAGCAUAUGUAUCUAUUACUACUAAACCCAAUUCCAACACAGAACGGAAGAGAGAAUUUGAACUUCGAAAAGAGAAAGAAAGAGAGACAGAUAGUGUCAACACCCAAUUUCAUCCGGGUAAUUAAAUAAUAGGCCUUGCUUUUAUUUUUCGUCUUAUUUUAUUUCACUUUGUUUUAUUAUAUUUAGUUUAUUUCUUUUUUAUUUGAUUUUAUUUUAUAAAAUAUUAUUUUUGAAAAAAAAAAAUGAUGAAAAAGAAAAGGAAAAAAUGAAUAAAAAAAAGUAAAAGAAAAAAAACGAAAGAAUAAAAAAGAUAAAAGGAAAAGCAAUGAAAAAGAAAAAAAAGAAAGAAACGAAAAAGGAAAAAAAAAAGAAAAGAAAAAAAUAAUAAAACGAAAAGAAAGAAAAAAAACAAAGAAAAAAAGGAAAAGAAAAAAAAAAUUAAAAAGAAAGAAUAAAAAAGAAGAAAAAAAAACAACAAACCGAUAAGAAAAGAAAAAUAAUAAAAAAAUGAAAUGGGAAAAAGUAAAAAAAGAAAAAAAAAAGAAAAAAGAAAACGAGAAGAAAGAAAAAGAAAAGAUAAAAAAAAGAAGAAAGAAAAAAUGCAAAAACGGAUUCAAUGGGAAUGUCAGGCUCAUAUAUAUAUAUAUAUAUAUAUAUAUAUAUAUAUAUAUAUAUAUAUAUAUAUAUAUAUAUAUGUGUGUGGGUUUGCUUACUUGCGUAGGCCUGUUUUUCAGUUGGUACAUUUUAGCAAUGUGUACCGAGUUUUAGUAGACAAAAAUAUCCUUAUAUAUCAUGAAUUCUAAGUUUUAAGUUUAAGGGUAUUUUAAUAAUUUUCAUUCUCAAAAUUAAAAAAAUAAAAAAAAAACCCAAACCUUUACCCAUUUCUCUCAUUCCUCUCAACCAUCUCUCUUUCAUCUUUUUCACUCCAACCUUAUUUUAUAAAAUAUUAUUUUUGAAAAAAAAAAUGAUGAAAAAGAAAAGGAAAAAAUGAAUAAAAAAAAGUAAAAGAAAAAAAAAAGAAAGAAUAAAAAAGAUAAAAGGAAAAGCAAUGAAAAAGAAAAAAAAAAAGAAAAAAACGAAAAAGGAAAAAAAAGAAAAGAAAAAAAAUAAAACGAAAAGAAAAAAANNNNNNNNNNNNNNNNNNNNNNNNNNNNNNNNNNNNNNNNNNNNNNNNNNNNNNNNNNNNNNNNNNNNNNNNNNNNNNNNNNNNNNNNNNNNNNNNNNNNNNNNNNNNNNNNNNNNNNNNNNNNNNNNNNNNNNNNNNNNNNNNNNNNNNNNNNNNNNNNNNNNNNNNNNNNNNNNNNNNNNNNNNNNNNNNNNNNNNNNNNNNNNNNNNNNNNNNNNNNNNNNNNNNNNNNNNNNNNNNNNNNNNNNNNNNNNNNNNNNNNNNNNNNNNNNNNNNNNNNNNNNNNNNNNNNNNNNNNNNNNNNNNNNNNNNNNNNNNNNNNNNNNNNNNNNNNNNNNNNNNNNNNNNNNNNNNNNNNNNNNNNNNNNNNNNNNNNNNNNNNNNNNNNNNNNNNNNNNNNNNNNNNNNNNNNNNNNNNNNNNNNNNNNNNNNNNNNNNNNNNNNNNNNNNNNNNNNNNNNNNNNNNNNNNNNNNNNNNNNNNNNNNNNNNNNNNNNNNNNNNNNNNNNNNNNNNNNNNNNNNNNNNNNNNNNNNNNNNNNNNNNNNNNNNNNNNNNNNNNNNNNNNNNNNNNNNNNNNNNNNNNNNNNNNNNNNNNNNNNNNNNNNNNNNNNNNNAGGGGUGACUUCGAUUUGAUUUUUUAAUUUGUUUUUGUUUUUAGAAAUAUAAAAAAUAAUUUAUUUAAUGAGUAUAAUACUUAAAAGAGAAGUUCGAGAAUGACAAUGGAGGAUAAUCUCAACCACCAAGCUGGCCCCUCCUCANAUUGCCAUGUAUCCUCAACAAACACCCCUUGAUUUCUUUUCAGGUUGGUGCCCAUUUCAAAUCCGCACUAAAUUUCUCGCCUUCAAAUGCUUGUGGUUACAACUUCAUUCAUUAGCCUUCAAAUCACUGUAUUUUACUUUUCAAACAAAGUUAAAUGUGUUAUUUUUGUGAUUUUCUUUGUCUAUCUUUUGGAUCUUCUACAGUGAUGCAACCCUUCUUGCUUCAAUUGAAGAUCAAUCACUAACGGAUGUGGACAUCCGUUUUUAAUUUAAACGGACAAUGACUUCCGUCAACGGAUUCUUAUAUUUGUUUAAAGAAGUUUUUUUAUAAAAUUUUAACUUUAAAAAUAAACUUUUACAGGAUAAAAUAGGAAGAAAAAAAUUGAAUAAGGGUAAAAAAAGAAUGGGGAGGUGGAGGAAGCAAUGGGGGAGGUGCAGGGAACAACACCCUUUAAAGAGGGCAAGUCUGGAAGCAAGGAGGCCCAUGGGAAGUCCAGCUGCCACCCUAGGGUACAAACAUUGAAGGAAGGAAAGGAUUGAAAGAAGAAGAAAAAAAAUGGGGCACAGAGGAAGGACGGCGGGGAAUUCUUUUCUGGCUGGAGAUUUCCUUGAACAUUGAAUAUAGAACGGAGGAAUACGAUUAGGUCCAGGAAGUAAACCUCCCCCUCACCGAGAGAUUCACUCACAUAUUGCCCUCAUUUUCCGCCAACACUCUCAGUGAAUCGAAUCCUCUUCGUCUCGUUGAUCAACUUGUCCGCUGAGAUUUUAACCUAAGCGUUUUUAUGGCUAAGACCGGUAACCAUUCCCCUUGCCAUUCCUUCGAUAACCACCACUUCGCGCGGGACGCCUAAAUGCUUCUUCGCCAUGGAGCCAAGUUAUACACGGCGAAUCAGAGUCUGUUGCAGUGCCUCCGUCGUCAUUUCCCGCCACGCCGUAUAAGGUGAUGAAUGCUUUCCUUUCCACAGUCUCGGCAGUUGACGAUUUUAGCUUUGCCGUGAAGAGCUCAGACAAUAGCGGCGCAGCGAAGAGGCCUGUUUGGAACAAGCCUUCUACUAAUGGCGCGGCGGCUUCCGAGGCUCAGCUGGUGAUUGACGCGUUGUCGUGGCCGGCGUUGUCGAUGUCAACGAGAACUGCAAGGAAAUCGGAAUCGGCAAAUGUUUUGUUGGAUGGGUCUAUUGUGUCGCAGUUGCAGGUUUUGGGAAGUGCGCCUUCUUCCCCUCUCUAUUGAGGGAAGUAGGUAACAAUACAAGCAUCGAGAGUACCAACAGUGUGGCGUCAAUUCGGCAAAAAUCAGUGAAAAAUCACAGUUCAAAUGCUUCUUCUAAUGGUGGCCACCCACAACANUUUGUGUCCAACUGCCACGAGCAUCNGGCGCAGGCGCCACUGCCGAUGGUGACUCUCGGCUGGCCAUGGAGAUGCGCGGCAACCAUGGCUGCUAUGGAUCAUGAAGAAGCAAUUUUACGCUUUCCCUGUUUCUAGAUGGAAAAGAAACCUUAGUGCCUUCUGAUUGAAAGGCAAAUGAAGCUUUGGGCUUGUGCCAGAAAGUACUACAUGGCACCCAACUUUACUCUUCCACCCCCACUCUGUUUCGGUUAACAAAAAGGACCUGGAUCAAGAAAUUUCGUGAUGAACCCCUGGUUUUGUCUUCUGCACUCCUUUAUUCUUAUUGGGCUUGGACUGUAUAUUUUUUCUUUGCUUUUAUUUCUUUAGCUUUAGUAUUUGUUUUAUUAUUGUUUGUUUGUUAUAUUCAUUUGCUAAAAAAAAAAGUAAAUAAAAAUAAAAAUCAUAAAAAUAAUCAAAAAAAAAAUAUUUUAAAGGUUUAAGCGUGUGUGCGAUCAUUCGCAUCAGCCUCGCGCUAAAACAUUUUUUCUCUUUUAUAAAAUAACAAAAAAUAUUUUAAAGGUUUAAGCGUGUGUGCGAUCAUUUGCAUCAGCCUCGCGCUAAGACUUUUUCCUUUUAUAAAAAUCAAUAAAAAUUAUUUUGAAAAGGUUUAAGCACACGUGCGACCGCUCGCGUAGGCCUUGUGCUGAAAAUCUUUUCCUUUUGUUUUAUCAAAAUUCAAAAAAAUCAAUAAAAAUUAUUUUGAAAAGGUUUAAGCACACGUGCGACCGUUCGCGUAGGCCUUGUGCUGAAAAUCUUUUCCUUUUGUUUUAUCAAAAUUCAAAAAAACAAAUAAAAAUAUUUUGAAAAGGUUUAAUCACACGUGCGACCGCUCGCGUAGGCCUUGUGCUGAAAAUCUUUUCCUUUUGUUUUAUCACAAAAAAAAUUUAAAAAAUCAAAUAAAAAUGUUUUGAAAAGGUUUAAGCACACGUGCGACCGCUCGCGUAGGCCUUGUGCUGAAAAUCUUUUCCUUCCCUUCUACAAAAUAAAAUUAAAAAAUAUUAUUUUAAGGGUUCUAGUGCAUGUGUGAUUGCACGCAUCGUCCUUGUGCUAGAAAAUCCUUUCCUUUCUACAAAAUAAAAUUAAAAAAUAAUGUUUUAAAGGUUUAAGCAUGUGUGUCACGCAUCGUCCUCGUGCUAAGAACCUUUUUCCUUUUUAUAUAAAGAAAAACAAAAUACAAAUUUCUCAAACAAAUUUUUCAACUAACUUCUGAAAGAACUACGUAACUCUGAUUUCUCAGUAUGACUGAGAAUACGUAGGAGCAAGGUCAAUCCUUGUCGGGCCCAAAAACCAAAAAAAAUAUUUUUGUUUCUUUAUAUUGUUGUCUUUGGGAUAGUUAAACAUUUUGCAAACCACAUUUUUAUUCGCGCAUUUAAUUAAAGGUACUGCCUUAGGGCAGACGUUGUGGGGUGCUAAUACCUUCCCCACACGUAACCGACUCCCGAACUCAAUCUUUGAUUUUCGUGGACCGUGUCUUUUCUUUAUGGUUUUUUCCAUAGUUUUCCAGAAUAAACUAUGGUGGCGACUCCAAAAUAAUUUUUCAAAUUGUUUUCUUUGGAUCGUCGUCCCGUCGCGAUUUUUCCGGUUGCGACAGAUAGAAUGUCGUCGGCGAAGCUCCGACCGUGACCGGCGGCCGCCAAGGAAGCCCAUGGCCUGACUUGAUGAAGAACGGUGGUGGUUAAUGUUCAGAUCCCUAAUUUCCUUUCUAAUUCAUUCUUCCUUUUCAAUCCCUAAUAUAUUAUUUUAAAAUAAAUCAAUUCAAUUUUGUCACGUCAUAAUUUUUUAAUUUAAAUAAAAAUUUCAUCUAAUCAAACAAUGCACGUCAGCAAAUACAGUUCAACUAAAUUUAACGUCGUCUAAGACUACUUAACGGAGAGGACUUAAUUGUCUCAUUUUUACAAGUUAUAGGACCUAAUUGAGACAAAAAAAAUAUGAUGAACAAAUUGAGAUUGACAGACAAAUAUGAGGACCAAAAGAGGAUUUUAACUAAUUUCUUAUUGAUAAAAAGAUAAUUUAAUAAAUUAAAUAUAUUUGUGAAAUUAAUCCACAACAUAAAAGUUAUAGAUUAAUUUUUUGUUAACCAUGGAUACAUUCUAAUUUAAAUAGAAAAACAGUUAUUUGUUAGUUCAACUGAAAAAAAAUAAAGCAUAUUAAGUCACCAAAAAUAGAUUUAAUUUAGUUCACCAAAAAACUAGAUUCAACAAUAUCAUAAUUUAUAAACAACGCGUGGACAUUAAGAAUUUUUUUAAAUAAUAACACUAUCACAGAACACAUGUAUCACGUAUGAGAGUGCAACAACAAUAUAGCUGAGAAACAAUGUCCAACCAACAAAUCAUACACAUGACUGGGAAACUAAAACAUAAUGACAGCCAAAAACAAAUUAAGUCUGAAAUAUUUACCUUCUAUAGUACCUUCAUCUUCUUCUUAAACUGGUUUACUUUAGUUUCACCCUGUGUAGUUGGAAGGACUGGUACAGAUAGAUUAUGAUAUUAUUGUGGAGGAUUAAUUUAGUCGAAUCUCGUACAAUGUAUUUUUAUCAUCUAGCCGUGUCCUCUGUUGAAAUUGGAAGUAAUCCUGGUAUUUCAUGCUUUUGAACAAUGGCUUUUCCUUCUCCAAUAGCUCCGCCAGAGGCCCAAUUUCCUUAUCUAGAGCAGGUCCAUUCACCAACACAACACUAAUCCUAGUCUCUUCGUUGUUCAGGAUUGCUCGGUGCAACACGCCCUCGUACCUCCCGUUACUCAAAACCUAUAUUCCAAGGAUUGCAUACUUGCAUUACAUCAAACCAAAUACGAGAUUUCUACAAGUUUUGUUCUUUACUAUAGUAAUUUGUUCACUAAAAAGUAUGCUUUUUGAAGCUGUUUAACAUGGCAUACCUCGAGUUGAUCUGCAAGUAUGACAGUUAUGGAGUUAGAAAGGGGAUUAACGUUGACCCAUUUGCCAUGGUGCUUAACCUGAAGCCCUCCAACUCCAUUCUGCGUGAGCAAGGUCAAUAAGCCAAUGUCGGAAUGUGGAGGCAACCCUAGAGCAAGCUGUGGUUGUGGACAUGGUGGAUACAUGUUAACAACGAAGACUUGAUGGCCAGAGUCAAACUCAGUGGACUCAAUAAUAGAAUUGGAUGCUAAUCCCAAACUCUCUGAUAUUCCUUCUAGCAACUUCCUAGCCAAUCCUCUGAUUUUCUGGCUAUACUCAUAAGCAACGUCCCUGCAGUAAUUGAUUAAGUUGAGAACAGUUGAUUAAGUUGAUUAAUUGAUUGAAGAAGCUAUUAGUGGAAGUUAAUUCAAAUACCUGUAACCCGGUGGUUUGUGGGGGAAGUUGAAUUGAGGAAAUGUGUUGGCCUUGAGAUAAUCUCUCCAAUAAUGAACCUUCUCUACUUGAGGACAAAAGCUUGUGCCAUGUCUAAUGGGUUCAAGAGGGCUCUUGUUGUCACCAAACUCCUUCUUUUCCUCUAUCGGCAAAUCAUGAAACUCGCCAGAUUUUUCCAUCAACUUCUCCACCAGCUUCUCAGGAAUUCCAUGAUUUGUGAGCUGAGAAGCAAGUGAAUGAGAUUACUGAGUUGGGAUAUUUUGUAAUAAGAUUUAGAAAAAGAAAGUUUCCAACUUUCUUACCAUGAAGACACCCCACUCAGCACAGGCCUUGCCGAGUAGCUGCACCGCUUUGGUGUGAGUCUGAGGGUGGUGCGAAGUGAGGUGAGAAAAAUCAAUGACUGGGAUGGAAGAUGCAAGGUAUUCUGCAUCAUCAUCAUCAUCAUCAUGGUGGAGUUGUGAGAUGGAGUGGUAGGUGGAAGGGAUGAGAGAAGAAUCUCCUUUUGAUUCUGCUAAUUCUUUGAUGCUAAAAAUAUUAGAUGCAUGAACCAUUGGUGGUUCUGGUUGUGAUGAUGAGGGAAUGGAAACAGCAGAGGCCAUGGAUGAUGUGAGUCUUCAACAGUAUCACAAAAUUAUUGGAUUCUCGUUCUUAUCUGUAAUACAAAUCCACAAAAGAAAAAUAAUAUGAUUAAAAAAUAAAAAUCAAAGUACAAAAACGAGAUUGAAAAGGUUCAAUUAUACAUUCAUAAAAUUUUCAAUGGAGCUGCGGGGAAUCGAACCCCGUGCCUCUCGCAUGCGAAGCGAGCGCUCUACCAUAUGAGCUACAACCCCUGCUGAUUAUUGUUUGCCACUUUACCUUUUAUAUUAAUAUGAUCAUGGUUUACAUUUGAGAUUUCUUAUUUUUUUUUGAAUACCAAUUAUUUUUAAAUAUUUUAUAUUUCAGUUAAAAACUAAACAUUAAUUUUAAUAUAUUAAAAUUAUUCAAAUAAUUCACUCCUCUCAAAAUAUGUUAUCUAUAACCAAAGGUUUCAUUGUACUUUAGGCUUUUUUCAUCAUUUUUUUGGAAUCUUUUUUCAAUAAUUCCAUCAGACUAUACUUUAUUAUCUACAACACAAGAUUGUAACAACGUGACAGUCUAGUUCACUAAGAGCACCUAGAAAUCCAUACAUGUUAGAAUGUUACACUAUUUUUUCUUAUGGACACACUAUGGUAUUCAAGGACCAUAUUUGGAAUUUUCUGAUGCACAGGAUAAAAUUUUUAAUUAGGUGUUGUAUUCUUUUCUCUGGAAUUUAUGUUAUUUUUUUAUUAUAAGUUUAAAAAUAAUUUUUUACAUGAAAAUGUGAUUAAGUGAUCAAAAGUUCUUUAAUUGAAAUUGAAUCAUAUAAAUCAAUUAUUAAGAACCCCAAUAAUCAACCAACUAGGAAAAAAAAAUUGUAUCUUACUUUAUUAAAAAAAAAAUUNNNNNNNNNNNNNNNNNNNNNNNNNNNNNNNNNNNNNNNNNNNNNNNNNNNNNNNNNNNNNNNNNNNNNNNNNNNNNNNNNNNNNNNNNNNNNNNNNNNNNNNNNNNNNNNNNNNNNNNNNNNNNNNNNNNNNNNNNNNNNNNNNNNNNNNNNNNNNNNNNNNNNNNNNNNNNNNAGGAACUAAUUAAAUAAAUUUUAUAAAUAUAUAUAUAUAUAUAUAUAUAUAUAUAUAUAUAUAUAUAUAUAUAUAUAUAUAUCAAAAUACAAAAAGUAAACUCCUAUUUUAAACAAAAUAAUAUUAAAAGAUGUAAAAAGUAGUUAGUUGAUAAAAAAGAGAAAAAUAAUAGUUUAUUUAUAUAAAAAUAUUAGAAAAAUAUAUUAAGACAAUUACUAACAUGUAAUAUACAUAUUUUGAGACACUAAAUAUGGUCUAAACUAAUAAAUAUGAUCUAAGGUCUCAGUAAACUAAGUAUAUCUAAACUCAUGAAAUUAAUCGGAUAGCGAGAUUCAACAUUUUUCUAAUCUCAUUAAAUAUAUAUUAUUAUUAUUAUUCGAAGUAUCAUAUGUUGUUUUCUUUGAAAGUUAAAAAAAAAAUGUGACUUGCUAAAACGAAAGACAAAGUAUUUGAUAAAGAGCAGAGCAUCAAGUAGUAAAAUGAGAGACUUUAGAAAGUAUUUUCUAUAAAUUAUUUACAUGAUGCAAAUCAAAGAAAUCCUACCAAGCACAUCUAAAUAUGCAAAUUGUUUUAACUUUUAAAAAACAAGUUAGGAAAAUUCAUUAAAUGAAAUUUAACACAAUCUAUAGUCUUUUUUAUCCUUGAAAAACUCAAAUCAAAUCAAUUCUAAAGGAUUUAUAACAUUUAAAAUAACUCCUAACCUUUAAAAACUUCUAUAUAUUUAUUAAAAAGACAUGAAACCAAAACUAUUGAUGAACAAUAAGAACUCAAAUUCAAAACAUACUCUCUUGUGUAUGAACUCACAUUUGUCGUUUUCGAACAUCAUUGUUAGUUUUCAUUAUUUCAUUUCAUAAUUGACAAAGUAUAAAUAUUUAAAUUAUUGUUUAAAUAAUAUUUUUGGAUGUUGCAUGAAAAAUAAAGUAAAUAGAAAAAUAUAUGUAUUAACAUCACAAAGUAUACAAGAUUCAAUUUAUUACAUCUAAUCUUAACAAAAGAUUUAAUUCUUUAUGAUAGAUAACCUAAAGUUUACAAAUUAAAGAAAUAAAGAAAAAAUUGAAACUAUAAAGAAAAUGAAAGUCUUUCCUAAGACACCUAGCAAUUACUCCAAGCUUCAAUCACAUCUUUUCUUCGCAUGUUCACCUCUGAUCUACAACUCAUCCUUCUCUUCAAUUCCAAAAGAAAAAAAAAACAACUAUGGAUGAAGGAAAAAACCCAAGGAGGAGAAGUCGUGAAAAUGAGGAAUGAAUCAAAACCCUUGCGAAAAAUAUGAUUAAAUACACAUUUUGACAUGUCAGUUUCACACCGUCCAACGCCAGCUAUACGGGACUAGGUGGCAAUUGAUGUUAUUUUCCACCUCUAAUGCUUUCUUGUAGCAUUAGGUGGUGCCCAAUGUCAAUUUCCAUCGUCCAAUAGUGGCUUUGUAGGAGCCAGUGGUGCCCAACGCAAGACAACCUCACAAAUGUUUUUGUUCUCUGACUUUGUAGUAUAGAAGUGAUUAUGGUGGUGCCCAACGUGAGUAGUUACCCCAAAAUCAAUUUUUUCUUGUCUAAAACAUGUUUACUAACAUACUUCCUAUUCUCUUCACACACUUAAAACAUAAAAGAGAUACAAAAACAAAAUAAACUUUAACAAUAAAACAACGUAAAAGCUAUGAAUAGUUUACUUUAUUAACAAAAACAAACACACCAAAACACAUAAAAAUUAAUGUUAUCCGUGAACAAAUAAUUUAAUUUCAAAUGAUUGACAAUAAAUCUAAUUUUGAUGAAAUUCAUGAAUUUGAAUUUUUUUUGUCACAUUAAAUUAAAAGGAAUUGAUUUACUUGACUUCAUGCUUAUUACUUUUAUGAUUUAAUAGUUGUUUCAAAGUUUAAAAUAUAAGUUUGAAAAUUUAUUUUUUGAUGUUCUACAUGUUUGUCUUUGUAUUUAGGAAAACAUGCUUUUUUAAAGCUUGUUCAUAAUUUUCAGCCUAAUUUCAAACCUAGAACUAAUAUUAUUACUAAGGUUGUUGCUUUUGAUUUCCCAUCUGAAAGGUACCAUGUCACUAACCAUGAGUUAAAGUAUGUUCUUAACUAAAACAAUGUUCAUGUGUGUGCUAACAAUAAAAAAAAAUUGUACAAAGAGUUUGUUAUUUUGUCCAUAAAUUUAUACAAAAUAUUUUUAAUUUUGUUCACAAAAUUGUACAUGAAGUUAUUAAUAAUGUUAUUUUCUACCUUUUGUUGAUGUUACAUUAAUUUUGUGAAUAAAAUCAACUUCUCCAUAGACAAAUACCUACGUCAAAGGCCUUAAAAUCACACCUAACGUUGCAAACAUAAAGAAAGAACUCACCUGGAGGGUUAUAUUCCCAUGGACAACCCUCAAAUGACAUGAAAAUUACUAUUGGGCAUCAGGUUGAGUCAUUGGGCAAGUUGGCUUCUCGUUGGACAAAAAUGACAGUAUAAACUUGUAGUAUUCGUGUGAUUAGGCGAAAAUAUGGCUCACCCAACAAGUUAUAAGUCAAAGAUGAUCAAAUUUUAGAAAUUUUGACAAUAAUGAAGCCAUUGAGCGAGUCUGUUGGCCUAGAUACACGAAGUGGGCAUUUAUUUUAUUUUUUCUAGGGUUUUGGGCAUUCCUUAUUUUUACCCAAAUAAAAUCACCUAGAAUGCUUGGGAAAUACUUUUGGAGCCUAUUUGAAGCACUGAGAAGCUCUCCCUCUCCUCCUUAGGUUUCAUCCAUCAUCCAUGGUGGUUUUCCCACUUAUGUGGUUGAAGAGGAAGAUGGACUACACAUUAGAGGAGGAAAAGCGAAGGAUAGGCAUGAUUGAAGUUUGGAGUAGCUGAUAGGUGCCUUCGAAAAGGACCUUAAUCUUCUUUAUGGUUUCAAUUUCUUCUCUGUAUCUUUAAUUUGUAAACCUUAGAUUUUCCAAAGAUUUAUUUCUAUUUUUUGAGAUUAGCACACACACACAACGUGAUAGCAAAACUAUAAUAAAUGAUAAAGAUUUCUAUAUUGGUUGCACUCAUAACUGGAAUAAAAAGUCGAUUUUCUAUACCGGUUACACCUAUAACCGGGUAUAAAAGUAGCAUGAUAGCAAAAAUGUAAUCUUGGGUUAAAAGUGAUUGAACCUAGAUAAACAAAUAGAUAUCCUAUGAAAUUAUAAUUUAUUGUUGAGUAGAUAUUAUUAAACAACCAUACGUUGCUCAAAUUGAUCAUCGCGAUACAUGGUUGAUGAUACAUAGUGUUGUAAAUUGUUUCACUUAUAUGUUUUGGUAUUGUGUAAGUAUAUUAAUGGAUACAACUUGGUAUGUAACUUUAUGAAUAUCUUUUCUUGCUAAUUUUAAGUGGUAUUGGACCCUACUUGAAACAUUAUGAUUUCAAAUUUGGCUUAAUACCUCCAUUGGUCCUCUUAUUUGUCAACUAAUCUUAUUUUGGUCCUCAUGUUUGCAACAGUCUCAAUUUAGUCAUAAUUUUUGUAAAAAUGCACAAAUUGUACCCCAUCCGUUAAGUAUUAGCAAACGGUGUUAAGUGAAGUCCACGUAUUAGGUUAAUAAUAUGGUGAUGUGUUUUUUUUUAAACGUGACCUGUUUUUAUUAAAAGAAUAAUUAGUGAUGUGGCAUCAGAAUUUGGAUUUAUCCUUAGGGUUCUUGAAAUUCUUUCUCCUCUCGAAUCACUCUGCAAUUCCAUUCCUCCAUCCCACUCUAUUUCAUAAGCAUCGUGCUCUUCCACCAUGAAUGACCCUUCCUUUUCAAUCACCUUUUUCACUUCUUCCACGUAUGGCGCGUAGUACGAGGGCAUCAAAAGAAUCCACCUUUUCCUCUUCCAACAAAUCCUACACACACCCCACAACACUUUUCUCAUAUAUAUCACAUUACCAAUAAUAUAUAUAUGUAAAAGUUUUGGACUUUAGCAUACCUGAGAAACCAUGGUCAUAAGUGUCGCAAUCGAAAAAUUGCGACGGGACAAUGACGAUCCAAUGAGAAAAAUGUUUAAGAAAAGUUUUUGGAGUCGCCACCAUAGUUUAUUCUGGAAAACUACGGAAAAACCGUAAAAUGAUAAGGCACGGUCUACAAAACCAAAUUCUAGUUUCGGAAGUCGGUUACGUGUGGGGAAGGUGUUAGCACCCCCACAACGCCUGCCCUAAGGCAGUACCUUUAACUAAAUACGCGAAUUUGAUGUGGUUUGCGAAAUGUUUAACUUCCCUUAAAAAAAAAUAAAAUAAAAUAAAAUAAAACUCUAAAGCAAACAAAAUAUUUUUUGUAUUUUUUGUGCCCGACAAGGAUUGACCUUGCUCCUACGUAUUCUCAGGCGGACUGAGAAAUCAGGGUUACGUAGUUCUUUGAAUCAUUUGGGCGAUUGUUUCGAAAACUUGAUGUUUUAUAUUUUUUGCUGAUUUUUUCUGAAGAAGAAAAAGGUUUUCGACACAAGGCUGACGCGGAUGGUCGCACGUGUGCUUAAACCUUUUUAAAAUAUUUUUGUUAUUUUGAAAGAAGGAGGAAAAGGGUUUCAACACAAGGCUGACGCGAAUGGUCGCACGCGUGCUUAAACCUUUUAAAAUAUUUUGUUAUUUUUGAAAGAAGGAGGAAAAGGUUUUAACACAAGGCUGACGCGAAUGGUCGCACGUGUGCUUAAACCUUUUAAAAUAUUUUUGUUAUUUUUGAGAGAAGGAGGAAAAGGUCUCGACACAAGGCUGACGCGAAUGGUCGCACGUGUGGUUAAACCUUUUAAAAUAAUUUUUGUUUAUUAUUAUCAUUAUUAUUUUUUUUUAAAGAAGAGGAAAAAGAUUUUCAACACGCUGACGCGAAUGGUCGCACGUGUGUUUAAACCUUUUAAAAUAAUUUUUAUUUUUUAUUUUUAAAAGAAGAAGAAAAAGGUUUCCAACACAAGGCUGACGCGAAUGGUCGCACGUAUGCUUAAACUUUUUUAAAAUAUUUUUUUAUUUAUUUUUUACUUUAUAAUUUUUACUUUUUAUCUUCUUUUUUUUUUAAUUUUUGCAAUAUGAAAAUAGUCUUUACAUAAGUAUUUAAAAUAGUUUAUAAAAAUAGUAGUAAUAGUUACGUAAAUAUUUAAUAUAAAAUAAAAUUGAUAUUUACUUGAAACAAUGAUAUUAUUUUACAAUGUUAUUUGCGUAAGUAUUUAAAAUACAAUUAUAAAGUAUAAGGUAUAAAGAAAAGCAUAAAAUAGAAACAAAUUAAAAUUAUGUUGUAGUUAUUAAAUAACUAAGAAACACUAAAGCUGUUACUUUUUACAAUUUUGCAAUUUAUAUAAAUAUAAAGCUAAUAAGUCAAAAUUUCUAUGUAUUCACUUGCAAACAAAAAUGCUGCCAUAAAUCCUGAAAUGAUUUUUUUUUAUUUAUAAUUUCAUCUCCUUCUUUUGUGCCUAUUAUAUUUUUUAUGAUUUUUAUUGAAUCUUUUUAUUAGGCAAGUGACCAUGUGCAAUGAAUGUUAGAUUAUAACAAACAAAAACCCAAUGAAAACAAAACACGAGAUAAAGGGAAUGGGAUUUUCCUACAAGGUCAUAGUAAAAACUUAGGUAAAAACAAAAACAUAGGAUAAAAUUCAAACAAACAGGCUUAAAUAAAAAAAUAAAAAAAACGCAAAGGUGAAAAACUAGGAGUGUAUAAUCCAAGCCCAUGAUGACGGAGAACAGCAAUGAGAUUUAGGGUGUUUCAUCCUCCAUCUCCAAGACUUCAUUCUGCACCUCCAACUUUUUUAAAAAAAUCUACUUUUAAUCUUAUUAAAUAUCUUUUUAUUUUUCACUUUCUAUUUAAAGUAAUCUCACCUAUUUUUACUUCUGCACCUUUUUAACAAAAUUUUUAUAACUUUAUCUUUUAUUUGUAACUUUAUAACUAGUUAAUUUAAUUUAAAAACUUAAUAUUAUUUAAUAUUUUUUCGUAUUUUAAUAAUUAUUAAAAUAUAAUUUUUUUCAUUUAAAUUAAAUNNNNNNNNNNNNNNNNNNNNNNNNNNNNNNNNNNNNNNNNNNNNNNNNNNNNNNNNNNNNNNNNNNNNNNNNNNNNNNNNNNNNNNNNNNNNNNNNNNNNNNNNNNNNNNNNNNNNNNNNNNNNNNNNNNNNNNNNNNNNNNNNNNNNNNNNNNNNNNNNNNNNNNNNNNNNNNNNNNNNNNNNNNNNNNNNNNNNNNNNNNNNNNNNNNNNNNNNNNNNNNNNNNNNNNNNNNNNNNNNNNNNNNNNNNNNNNNNNNNNNNNNNNNNNNNNNNNNNNNNNNNNNNNNNNNNNNNNNNNNNNNNNNNNNNNNNNNNNNNNNNNNNNNNNNNNNNNNNNNNNNNNNNNNNNNNNNNNNNNNNNNNNNNNNNNNNNNNNNNNNNNNNNNNNNNNNNNNNNNNNNNNNNNNNNNNNNNNNNNNNNNNNNNNNNNNNNNNNNNNNNNNNNNNNNNNNNNNNNNNNNNNNNNNNNNNNNNNNNNNNNNNNNNNNNNNNNNNNNNNNNNNNNNNNNNNNNNNNNNNNNNNNNNNNNNNNNNNNNNNNNNNNNNNNNNNNNNNNNNNNNNNNNNNNNNNNNNNNNNNNNNNNNNNNNNNNNNNNNNNNNNNNNNNNNNNNNNNNNNNNNNNNNNNNNNNNNNNNNNNNNNNNNNNNNNNNNNNNNNNNNNNNNNNNNNNNNNNNNNNNNNNNNNNNNNNNNNNNNNNNNNNNNNNNNNNNNNNNNNNNNNNNNNNNNNNNNNNNNNNNNNNNNNNNNNNNNNNNNNNNNNNNNNNNNNNNNNNNNNNNNNNNNNNNNNNNNNNNNNNNNNNNNNNNNNNNNNNNNNNNNNNNNNNNNNNNNNNNNNNNNNNNNNNNNNNNNNNNNNNNNNNNNNNNNNNNNNNNNNNNNNNNNNNNNNNNNNNNNNNNNNNNNNNNNNNNNNNNNNNNNNNNNNNNNNNNNNNNNNNNNNNNNNNNNNNNNNNNNNNNNNNNNNNNNNNNNNNNNNNNNNNNNNNNNNNNNNNNNNNNNNNNNNNNNNNNNNNNNNNNNNNNNNNNNNNNNNNNNNNNNNNNNNNNNNNNNNNNNNNNNNNNNNNNNNNNNNNNNNNNNNNNNNNNNNNNNNNNNNNNNNNNNNNNNGAUGCAGAUUUAAAAAAUGUAGGAUUAUUCUGAAUAGAAAGAAAAAAAGUAAAAUAUAUAUUUACUAAAGUUAAAAAAUAAAGUUUUGAAAAAGUUAGAAAUACAAUAUUAGGUAUUGGAGGUGCAGGAUGAAAGAUCUUACUUUAAAUAGAAAGUAAAAAGUAAAAUAAAUAUUUACUACAGUUAAAAGUAAAUUUUUGAAAAAGUUGGAGGUGCAGGAUGAAACCUUUGGAGGUGCAGGAUGAAACACCCUGAGAUUUAGGGGUGUGUGAACCAGGAAGGAAAUUUUUUAGCAGAACCUGGCCCAGGAAUUUAACCCAACGCCCCUUGGUUCAGAAAUUUGGGUUCUAUCAUAUGACCCCCACUUUUGCAUUGAACGUCCAGGGCCUAGCCUCCCCUCCUUUGAACGAAACAAACAGAGAAGGGUUUGCCUCCCUGCUCGAGAGCGUUGUCGCCUCUGCUGAACCAGCUUCCACCGUACCAGCCUUAGUCAGCCGCCGCGCGUCGUGUCGGAGGAAACCGCAUGCACCGCCGCGCUGCACUCAGGAUCUUCGGCAGCCACGGUAUCGAGCUCCUCUCCUCUCUCUAUUCUGACUAGCGCAUGGAAGGGAAGUUUUCCUCUUGCUUGCCGCACGUUUCCGUCUUCAUCUGGCUCUGAAUCGGGGUUGAGCUUGGGGUUUGUAUAUGAAGGGCUUUUCUUGACUGUUGAUUUGAUUUGUUUGUGAUUUUUUUUCUAUUGUUCAAGGGGAUUAACUCCUUUGUUGGAGGCUUGAGAUAAAAAAAGUGUGACCGAUUGGGGAUCUGGGUUGGUUCUUUUCUUUGUAGAGAAGAGAAACGGCAUGUAGUAAAGAUCAAGACUGAUGAAGGCAUGUAUGUGGGAUAUCGGUUUGCAGGUUUGGGUUAUACACAGAGGGGAUUGGUUUCUAAUCGUCGAAAGUGGUAGAGCGCGUUUAUGUUGUCGGCAUGAAUGUAUAACAAACAAUGUGCAGAAGCAAAUCGUGUAUAUUGAGUAUUGAACAACAAAAAAACGAGAUAUGCAUACAACGCUCAGAAUAUUCAAUGGCAACUAUUCAUAAGCAUAUAGAGGCAUUAUAACGGCAGGGUAAAAAGACAUUUUAACAAUGAUUGUGAAAUGAGUUUACUCGUUUACCACUUGGAGCUUCUACGGUUGCUAUGACAGGAUAUACGAAGUUAGUGCUGAAGGUCCGGAGUCAAGAGCUCUAUGCGAUGGUUCGGCGUUGAUGGCGAGUCUUCGAUGUUUGGGGUUUUUGGUGGAUGAAACCUGGAUGUUGUUGAAGGUGAGGAAUUGGAAUUGAAAGGGAAAUGUGGUUGAGGUUAGAAUGUUAGGAUCGGUUUGGUAUCGUGGGAAAAUCUUGAGAAGGAUUCCGUUGAGUAGAGAGUAGUAGUCUCUGUGUGGUGAAUGAUCUCCUUUUUUUCCUUUUCUUUCCUUUUUUUGGUUUGAUAUUGUGUGCUUUUUGUGGAAGACGCUGAGAAGUUUUUUUUGAGUAAACUGACGCUCCCCCUUUCAACUCUCUGAGUCUCCCCUAUAGUGAUUCAAGGAGUUCAGUAUUGAAUGACCCCUGUCCCCUCCGGAAGUCAACCUUCUCUUGUUACCCC
rnacentral:lncRNA from 1 species